GGGAGGAAGCUAGAAAACGAGCCACCACCGACGUCGAUCCACAGCUUCACCGCCGUCACUGGUGUCGCCCCAAAACCACCCGGUACGCACGGCUCGAGCCUCGGGUUGGUUGCCGUUGGGGCGUCGCGGGCGGAGAUCGACUGUGGUGCGCUGAAUUCGUCGCCGAGAUCGUGCCUCCGCCGCGGGCCGCUGUCCGCCGUGGACACUCAUCGGUGGGUCGUCUCCCGCUCUGGUAAGUCCUCUGUUGGAUUCGUGGAAUCCGUAGCAUCGCGUAGCACCGAGAAGCGGUGGUUGGUGAAACGGGGCCCUGGGCGCGCUACUCGCUGGCGAUGGCGCCGCCACGGAUGGAGCUCCGCCACCAUCGGGCCGUGUCUAGGGAAGGCGAUAACGCGGACCCGUUGGAUCCUAGCCAACGGUGAUCUGGAUGGUGAAGGGCUGAGGAAGUAGAUGGACAUGGGCCGUUCGAUGGUAGAUGAGCGCCCCAGAUUAGAUGAAGGUACCCCUUCGCCUGGAUUAAGUGUUGACUGUUGGAUUUCAAUCGGGUGGGCGCGAGUAGUUCUCGGCUAUUAAAAAUCUGAGUCGUUGGUCUCGAAUCCUGCGAUCGGGAUUUGGCGCGGGAUGCUUAAGAUAUGAAUCUAAUCUGGACCGUCCGGAUCUGAUCAAGCGGUUGUGUGAUGUCCAUACCCCUUCGCCUUGGCUUUCUUUCUAAAGAACCCCUGGCUUUCUUAAAAAUCAACCCGCCGUCCCGCGGGAGUAGGCUGUGUCUGGUAGAUUUUACAAGUUAAACCCCGACCUUCUCUAUAUUAGUGUGCCCAGUCCAGAAGCUUAGGAAAUUCAGAAAAAUAAUUUGGGAAAUGGUUUUUAUGUAUAAAAAUAUAUUCAGAACUUAUUUAAUUCAUAGAAAUUCCAUUUUUACUCCUUUUUAACCCAUUCCAGUUGCAAUAAUUUUGUAUUAAUAUUGUCUAUCAACUAAUAACACUGUUUAGCCAUGAAACUUAAGUUAAAAUUGUUCAUUAGGAUUAAUCUAUUCUAAGCACUAAAUAAAUUCGAAAAUUCAUAACUUAAUAGCUGUAGCUCCGAAUUUAGUGGUUCUUGUUUCUACGAUCUCGUUAUGGCGCGUAGAUUAUUAUUACGCAAUGUAUUCUUAUGUUUGGUGUAAUGUUAAUUUUGUCUAUACACUGUUUGUUUGUAAUGCUACGACUAGCGUGAGGACAUGUGUCGCCUGAAGAGCAAGUCGGUACCUGGAAUCUCAAGUCCCAGGCAAGUUGUGCCCUUGUCCACUUCGUACCCAAUAAUGUUCUUUAUAAUCAUUUACCAUGCAUAGGUUUAAUUUUGAUGGGACCCAAUAGGUCACCCUAGUUUGUUUAUCCUGAAUACCUUGUUUACCCCUGAAUCACUUGGGUAGUUCUGCUACUGCUUUAUAUGGUUUUGGGUUAAUAUUUCAUUAUAUCUAUGUUCCAAUUAUGUUGUUAUUUUAUUUAUGUUCAUGACAAGAUCAUUAAAUGUUAAUUGGAACAUAGAGCUUAACUUGAGAAACACGUGCCACCACAAGGGUUUAUGGACGCCCUUGGCUGAUUAAUUAGGAAAGCUAGUGGAGGACUACCUUACCCGAAAGGGGCAAGGGCAGUAGGGGAGUGGUCAGUGUAGGGAGGUCCUUGGUUGAUUUUGCUGCGAUGGCGGUCAGUCAAGAACCCUGCAUUGGAGCUUCCUAUAAACUGUAGCGGGUUUUCUGAAGCUAGUGGAACUUUGUAAAGGCCUCGUAGUGUUACCCUGCCUCGCCUCCUCGGUAGAGGUGUAUGGGAAGUCGCGAUCCCUUGGCAGACGGGUAACAUGACUUGUGGGUAAAGGGUACCACCUCUGCAGAGUGUAAAACUGGUAUACUAGCCGAGCUCACAGUCAUGAGGAGCUCAGGACUCUCUGAUGAUUAAUUUAUGGAACUAAAUUCAAUUUGUCAUAUGCAUUGCAUCGCAGGUGAUGAUGUUACUUUUGUUCUACUACUUAAUUGGGUUGGUAUUUACUUAUACUUAGUAAUUGCUAAUAAAAUUUUGACCAACUUUAAAAGCAAUGCUCAGCUCUAACCAUCCUCUUUGGUAAGCCUUACACUUCACGUGAGCUCCCUCCUUUGGCGAGUUCAUGCACAUUAUUCCCCACAACUUGUUGAGCGAUAAACGUAUGUGAGCUCACUCUUGCUAUCUCACACCCCCCCACAGGUCAAGAACAGGUACCGCAGGAUGAGGCGCAUGGAGGAUGCUGUGACGAGUUCGUGAGAGAUCUAGGCCGUCGUCUCCCAGUCAACUUUGGGUUGCUGGACCGUUGUCUCCUUAUAAUGUAAUUAUUUAUUUAUUUUGUAUAGAACUCCUGUUAUGUAGUAAAGAUGUGACAUUCGAUCCUGUGCCAUGAAUCAUCAUAUGUGUGAGACUUGGUCCCAGCACACCUGGUGAUUAUGUUCGCGCCCGGGUCUUGAUGCCCCGAAACCCGGGUGUGACAUCAAUUCGGAUGUCGUCAUGUCAGGAUAGAUGGGAACCGUGUGUAACACCUUAGGUGUUACCAUGGCUAGAGCACACCCUGACACUAAGGACUGUGAGUUAUAUGGGGUAAAGGCUUAGGGCAACACAUAAGAACCUUGGAGAUCAUGUGCUAAUCAAGUUGCCAAUGACCUAAGAAGCAUUACUCUAAUCCUUGCUCACUUACUACCUUGGAUAAGAGGGGAGAAGAACCCUAGACCUCUCUUAAACCCUAUCUCCCAAAACCCUAGGUAAGAGGGGAAAGGGAGUGAACAAGUGUGCAAAGCAAGAGUAAUUUUUACCCAAUCCUUAACUAGCCUUAUAACCAUCAAUUAGGGGAGGGAAAUAUUGCAAGAAGACCCCUGGAGAAACCCCAAUUCAAAUCUCCAAGUGGAGAGAGAGCUAGAGCUCUCUAUUUCCCUCUAAGUCAAAUUCUAACCCUAAUCCAAAGACCAACCGUGUUCACCUUGAAGAUGGCACCAAAACCACUUAGGUUCUAUACCAAAAAUGUGGUAUACCACCUAAGGCACCCCCUGGAAAAAGUGGAAACCGAGACUUGGACGUUUGACAGGAUUUGGCAUCAGUUUUUUCGCGGUGUGGGCACUGAGACAAGCCAGAUUUGGCGCCCGUCUAUCUCCUGAUCUAGGGCGUAUCCUCCAUUGGAACUCACACAUGUGAGAUAGCCCUAGGUGCCAGGAAGAGGUCUGCGCCGGAUUCAUGGCAAGAUUCGCACGUUUGCGAUCUCUGGAGACGUUUGAACAAUGGAAGAAACACACCUCCACGUGUUCGACGCUUCCUGCCCGCGCCAGAGCACGCUCGCGCGCGCCCCCGCAUGCCUAGCGCCGCGCCCGAGCCAAGCCAGCGCCAUGGCCCGCGCCCGCGCCUAUAAAACCCUCCCAGACUUCGACUGCACUCUUCCGCGCACCCUCAAACCUCACCGGAGUCUAGCUCGCCACCGUUUGCCCGUGUGCAGCGUGUCCGCGGCCGCCCAAUCCCUCUGUCACCGUAGACCGGCCAAUAGAGCCAUUCCCAACCCCGUCCAGCCCUCGGAGAAGACUGUGCACACCUCCGUGAAGCUCCCCGAGCGAGGAAUCGGAGUUUGCUUCGCCGGAGAGGCCAGUCCACGCUCGCCGGAGCUCUCAACCCCGCCGGAGUACGUGGACCGGGUAAUCCACUCAACCAUCCUUCGAUUCCUUGUGCACACGGUCCCUACGUUACCCCGUGAAGCUCACCGUGCCCUUGGAUUGAACCAGUUCGCCGUGGUUUGGCCGAUACACUCGCCGCCGAUGAGAACACCCGCCUGCGCGCGUGGACCGGGCGAUUCCGGCCAUCCCCGACGUCAAGCCGUACCUCGACGUGACCGCCAGAGCUUCCCCGAGCCAACCCCACCCUUCGCCGGACCUCCCUCGCCGCCGGUAAGCCGCGCCACCCUUUUCUUUCCCGUGGUUACUGUUUACAUAAGGGGAAGGACUGCGGGUGAGAGGGAGAGAAGGUCAGGGGGUUUUGUGAAAUGUCAGAGACACAGGGGAAUAGUGGCGCGAGGGUAGAUUUGCGAAGGUUGAUUUAGUUUAAACCCAGGGACCUCGGUGUAAACUGUUUUUCCAGAAAACCUUUAUUAAAUCUGUUUUUAAUUUGAACAGAAACUUUGAAAAUCCAUAACUUCUGUUUAGUUCAUCCAAAUUUGGUCAAACCAAUUUUGUCAGACUCUAAAUAAUGUAACCUACUUAAGAAAAAUAUAAAACCCCCCAUGUACUAUAGAAAACAUUAAAGCUCUGAUUUAAUUAUAGUUUUGACCAAAAGCUCAAUAAUAGGGCAAAAAUUAGUUGCACUAUUUGACUGGGGUUAGAAAAAUUUGAGAAGUUUGUAUCUACCUACUAACCCAAAUAAAAAUGUUAAAUCUCUCUGUCCACUCCAUUAAGCUAGUUUUUACCCCUUAUUCUAUAAUAUGCUUAAGGAUAAGGAAAAUAGAAAAUGUAAUUUAAAUAAUGAACCAGAGAGUACCUCUAUUUUUGUUGGGAUACUUAUUCAAUGUAGUUCACUGGAAAAAUAUAUCAUACCCUGUUUUAGUAUAAAAUAAGUAGGAUCCCUUUUGUUUUAAUAAAACAAGUGAAACUUAGAAAAACCCUACAAAAUAACCCCAAGGUAAAAACACCCCCACCCUUGGGAUAACUAAUGUUUUAUUAAUGAGGACUUAGGAAAAAUAUGAAAUCUGCUGUUUGACAUGUUUCAAAUAAUAAUGUAGUAUAAAGUGCCUUUUUGGCAUUAAACUUAAGAAAAUCAUAACUAAAUAACCACCCCUUAGUUUUCUGUGAUUUUUAGCACAGAAGCCUAUUAUUACUAUGGGAUGACAGCAAAAAUAACCUUUAGGACAGAACCCACCCCUAACUAAGAGAUGUAGUGUAAAGUGGCCCAUUUUGCAUAACUAUUGUUAUUUUUGUUUAAAGCCUAGCCUUUAUAUUAUAAGCCUCAAAUUCUUAAAACCAGCUAGAACAGCAAAUGGCAACCCACUGUACUUUUUACAGAAUUUUUGGAAAAUAUUAAACCCUUGUCAUAGUUCAAACCUACCCUAGAAACCCUGAGUAGAAAUUAAGAAAAGGGAAUUGAAUAGGGGUAAUUAAUGUCAUCUUAAAACCCUGGUAAAUUUGUCCACUGAAAUCUAUAAAGGCAAUGCAAAUCCACUAGGUUAUCCUAAAUGAAAACCUAAGCCUAAAAGGUAAUAAGUAUAUAUACCACUAGAAGCCUCGCCUGACUAAGAAACCCUAAGUCACUUCUUGACGUAGUUCUUUUGUUAGCAUAUUGUUACUAAAUCUUGCAUAAUCAUAACAUACAUGUUCAUUGCAUUCGAUAGACUGUAACCUUGCUGACGGAGAGUACAUCCUCGUGCCGGAGCAAGGAGCUGCUCAGGAGGUAGCCCAGGAUCCAGCACCCGAGCCUGCACCAGAGGACCUGUCUGCCACUGCUUUGGAAGGCAAGCCCCGGUUUUAUGCAUAACCUGUUAACUAUGCUAUUUUACUUCACUUAAUGAUUGUAGGAUUGAUUGUGCACAUAGGUGUAGGAAUUGUCUGGAACCCUAGUUGCAUGAUCUCAGGAAUCCUAUUGAGAUGAAUACUAGUAUGCUAGGUCGAGUAGCUGCUUUAUUAAGUAGGAUCUCGGUAGAAGACGAGUGAUUUUUCUAGCACUCGCGCGAGGUCAGGACAUUGAUUGUACCCCCCCCCCACUUUCAUAUCGUACUGAUGUUGGGUGUGGGCAACAAUCCAUGGGGAUUGGUUGUUCACGGGAUAAAAAUUUGAAUAAGGAUUAAGGUGUGGUACCGUGAGUCAAGCGUUUGAACGUACUAAGCACAUGCCGAGAAAUAUGGUAAAUCGGUAAGCCUAGUACCUGAGUGAACCUGGCAGUGGACAUAUCCCCUCACACGACCUGAGACGAGGUCUCCCAUUCCGGUUAUGGUGGGUACAAGUGCGGUCACUGCAUGACGGCCAGUCGGGGUCAGUGAGGCAUUGUACGCCAAGGCGGUGAGCCCUGAUCUGCUGACGGGGAAUCGAUGGGGACGGUUGACGUGUGUGGGGACGGAGUGCCCCUGCAUGUUGUGUGUUUAGGUUUACCUUGCAAGGAUAAAAACUCGAUUCGAAUCGUCUGCUUCUCGCAGCUAAUGAGACUGCUUGAUCCAUGCUGCUACAUUGAGUAACAAGUGAAAUUGUGCUGAGAUGAUACAAGAUUUUGAUUGCUAAAAUGUUUGCUACUAUGUAUGAAUAGAUAGUACAUCUUUAGCCUUAAGAGAGUCACACUUAAUUUUGACAAAGUUAAAAACUUGAUUUAGAAACUCAGCUAGUGCUUUUGGCAACCAAACCCCACAGCCAAACAUCUGCAUGUCUAGAGGUAGAGGAGUAGACUCCUCACACCGGGUAAGUCUAGCUGAGUAUUAGUAUACUCAGCCUUGCUUGUGGCAUAAUUUUUACAGGUUCUCUGGAGGAAAUGGUUGCUGGAGUGACUUGGCCGUCCAUCUUGCCACCGGGUUGGACUGUCGAGUGGGACCCUGCCUCGGCUGAGGAGGAGCAUGAGGAGUGAUGGGACAGGCUUCCCCAUCUCUCUAUUUAUGUACCGUUAGUUUAUUUCCGCUGCACUUCGAACAAUGAUGGUUACUUUUGCAAAAACUCUGAUGAUGAUGAUGGUGAUGUAAUAAUUUAAUACUCUGACAUGUAUGGUUUUAUGCUUUAUUGUAUUUGCUCUGUGACUCACCUUCGAGUGAGAUUGUGGUACUUGAUCCUGUCAGUGGCCGUGUCGGACUAGAUCCGAGGGAUUGACGGGUUAUUCCCAUUUAAGUGUGGUCUAGCCUAUAAGGCGGGGCUUAGGCACUUAAGUUGGAAUAAUUCGGGCAGUUCCACCACAGCUGGUAUCGGAGCUUGUACCACCACAGAGGAAUCAAUAAAAUGUAAAUACCAUCAAUUUUCCAAGUAAAACUUGAUAGAAACAAUAUUGGAUAGAUAGUAGGACGAGCAGGAUAGACCUAGGACGUGAAGCCUUAGGGUAAUAGAAGGGUAGCUAGGUGGCUAAGUGAUUAGGCCCUACAGGCCACAUUUACAGGAGGGGAGUUCUUCCCUAUUCCUUUUAUCUUGUUGUGAGGUCGUUCAGGACGAGCAUGCAUGCAUUCUUAAUUAAGCCAAUGGAUAACUAAGCAAGGAUUUAAACACAAGAUAACCACCAACUAGGUUACCCGUGCCUUUUUAUUUAACUAGAGAAAGGUUGAGUUUUAUUUAUCUUGUUCUUUUUUAUAAUUCUUUUUCUUUUAUUUACGCUUAACCGUGCACAGAUGACUUCCCACGGAUCCUCCGAUGACGGAAAUGCACUAACCCACACUUACGGGCUUGCACGAGAGGGCUUUCCCCGCAUUUUGUGGGAGGUACUUCAGGGGGUCGGAUACACGACACCCCCUCAGUACGCGGUGCAGCAGUUCGAGAAGCACCGAGUGCCCCGCUGUAGGGUGAGGAUGACCUUGGAGCCUCAUCCCCUGCAGCCAGGCUGGCGCUCAUUGGACUCCGAGUCUUUCGGAUACCGAGCGGAGGACACGAUCGAGGCGAUCGCUCUGCAUGGAUUGACUACUUUCUGCGGGUUCCAUCCUUUGGAGCUGGCUACCCACCCCAUUGGCUUGUUCCCCGCUGAGAGGGAGGACGACCCAAUGUGGAAGGAUCGGGUGGAGCAUGCCAAGGAUAUCUAGGCCAUCUACCCAGGACAGACCGCGCACUUGACCGUACGGUGCAUGAAUGCUCUGUACCGUCUGCAGGUGAUGCGCGGUGAGGCGAUGUCCCAUCUGAUGGCACUGCUGGAGGCAACAAAGAUUACGUUGGAUAACAGAGAGGAACUCGUGGUUGACUUGUCUCAAGAAAUGGUGGAGAAGGACUUGCAGGUGGAGCAGCUAUCCACUGAUAUUCAGGAGUUGGAGGAGCUAGUGGGCACCAGGGAGAACACCAUCGAGGUUCUAGAGGAUCAGCUCAUUAACACUCAGCAGCAGCUUGCUGAGGCUAACGAGCACCUGGAUAUGCAUCACCAGGAGAUCCAGGACCUGGAGGCCAACGAGUACGUCGACAUCGAGGGAGGAGAUGAGCCUGCCUCAAGUGUGGACACUGCUGGCUCGGGAAGACCACCUUCCCCCAAGUCAAGUGUUGCUUCGUUCGCUCACUAGGUGUUCAGGAUAGGAUUAGAAGUUGGAUGGUCGGACUCCUCGCAGCUAGCUUAGCUUUUGCACCCUUGGGGUACUAGGCUAGAUAGAGUUGAGUCAUUUUGGGACAAUUGAUGUAAUCGGGCUAAACUCUCUUGAAAGCUUGUUUGAUGGAUGCUGUCAUCAGUUUAAAUUUGGAAGGAAGAAAUUGUGCCUUUUAAAAUCCUUUUGUUGAAGUCGGAGUCUAUCAUGUUGUUUUAACUUUUUCCUUCGCGGUAAACUUCUUGAACUUGGGAAUAAGGUGUUAAGUAUGUGGUUUUUCAGAUGGCCGGGAGGCAGCGUCGUGGCCAGAAUGAGCGCGUUCCUCCACCGCCACCGCCUCCCACUCUGCAGGAGCUCAUGGCUCAGCAGAAUGAGAUCUUGAGACAGCUGGCUCAACGUCAGCCACCACCUCAGCACUAUGGUGGUGGAGACCAUCAGCGUCACCCCGCGGCGGCUACCUAUCAGGAGUUCCUCAGCACCCAGCCUCCAUUGUUCACAAGGGCAGAGGACCCGCUUGAUGCAGAUGUGUGGCUGCGAGUGGUGGAAUCCAAAUUCCCACUGCUCCAUGGAGCUUGCUCAGAGGUCACCAAAGUCAGGUUCGCCACCCAGCAGCUUCGCGGACCCGCAAGGACUUGGUGGGAUCACUUUCUUGCUAUGCAGCCAGAGGACCGAGAGGUGGAGUGGAGGGAGUUCAAGGCAGCUUUCAGAGGACACCAUAUACCAGCCGGGAUCAUGGACCGGAAGCUCAAUGAGUUUUUAGCACUCACUCAGGGCAACAGGACAGUAUUGCAGUAUGCCCAGGCCUUUAAUGACUUGUGCCAGUAUGCUGGGUAUCAUGCAGAUACAGAUGAGAAGAAGAGAGACAGGUUCCGGAGGGGGCUCAGCACUAAGCUCCAUGACCGUCUCAACACUGUCAGGGCCAACAGUUACAAUGAGUUGGUCAACAUGGCUAUCUCCCAAGAGGACUGCAUUACAGCUAGACAGGCAGAGAAGAAGAGGAAGACCCCUGUGACAGGACCUUCAGCUCAGCCACAGCGCUUCAGGAUUGUGUCCGACACCCAGGGCAGGGGACCCCAGCAGCAGCAAGGGCGAUGGGUGAUCCGACCACAGCAGCAGCAGCCGCAGGCACCCAACCGCACCCAAUUUCCAGCUCAGAGGAGCAAUCAGCAGCAACAGCAGUACCGCCAGGCAAAUGACAACAGGUGCUUCACAUGUGGCAACACCGGGCAUUACGCCAAAAAUUGCCCCAGGAACCAGCAGAGGCAGGGGCAGAAUGUCAAUCAGAACCAAGGCAAGAGACAGAAGGUGCAAGUAAGGCAGGGCAGGCUGAACUUCACCACCAUGGCUGAUAUUCCAGAGGGAGCACCCGUCAUGACUGGUAUCUUUACAGUUUUGAAUUAUCCUGCUAUUAUUCUUUUUGAUUCUGGUGCAUCGCAUAGUUUUAUCAGUGCCAAGUUUAGUGCCAAGUGCCAAUUACCUUUUCACCACACCAACGGAGGUAUCACAAUUUCAACCCCAGGAGGCAGGGUUGCCACCUACCAAAUUAACAAGAAUGUGCCUAUAAAGUUUGGUAGUCUGAUAAUUAAAACCAACCUCCUCAUUUUGGGGUUGGAUAGUGUGGAUAUCAUAUUGGGAACUGAUUGGUUGACCAGAAAUCAGGUUGUGAUAGAUAUUGCAGCUAGAGCCAUUGAGGUGCACUCACCAACUUGUGGUGGAACCACAUUAUUUUUGCCUGACCAGGGUUGUACCCGAUCUUGUGCCUUUGUUAUGUUAGAAUCCCCAGUGGACAAGAUCCCAGUGGUCCGUGACUACCCGGAUGUGUUUCCGGAAGAAUUACCCGGAAUGCCACCUGACCGAGACAUUGAGUUCGCAAUUGAGUUGCAACCCGGGACCGCUCCUAUCUCCAAGAGACCCUAUAUGAUGCCUCCCGCAGAAUUGGCAGAAUUGAAGAAGCAAUUGCAAGAAUUGUUGGACAAGGGGUUUAUUCGCCCAAGUACUUCACCAUGGGGAUGUCCAGCAUUGUUUGUGAAGAAAAAGGAUGAGAGUUUGAGGAUGUGUGUUGACUACCGCCCUCUUAAUGCAGUGACUAUCAAGAACAAAUACCCACUGCCCCGUAUUGAUGUUCUGUUCGAUCAGUUGGUAGGAGCCAAGGUAUUCUCCAAGAUAGACCUUCGCUCAGGGUACCAUCAGAUCAAGAUCCGUGCCAGCGAUAUUCCCAAGACGGCUUUCUCUACCAGAUAUGGGUUGUAUGAAUUUUUGGUGAUGUCUUUUGGGCUGACCAAUGCCCCGGCUUAUUUUAUGUACCUGAUGAACUCAGUGUUUAUGCCAGAAUUGGAUAAGUUCGUGGUCGUUUUCAUUGAUGAUAUUCUGGUCUAUUCCAAGAAUAAAGACGAACAUACUGAGCACCUGCACAUCGUGCUUCAGCGGCUGCGCGAUCAUCAUCUUUACGCUAAGUUGUCUAAAUGUGAGUUCUGGCUGAAGGAAAUCAAAUUCUUGGGUCAUACAAUUUCUCAGGAUGGGAUAUCAGUUGAUCCUGAAAAGGUACAAGAAGUGAUGGAUUGGAAACCCCUGGCUACAGUGAGACAGAUUCGGAGUUUUCUGGGAUUGGCAGGGUAUUAUCGACGAUUUAUUCCGGAUUUCUCCAGGAUUGCCAAACCAAUGACUGAACUGUUAAAGAAGGGAGUCAAGUAUAAUUGGAGCCAAAAGUGUGAAGAUGCCUUUCACACAUUGAGGCAGCAUUUGACAACAGCCCCAGUGUUGGCUCAACCUGACAACACCAAGCCAUUUGAAGUUUAUUGUGAUGCUUCUGGUACCGGAUUGGGAUGUGUCUUGAUGCAAGAGAACAGGGUCAUUGCUUAUGCUUCCCGAGCACUCAGACCCCAUGAGCAGAACUACCCCACUCAUGAUCUGGAAUUGGCAGCUGUGGUUCAUGCUCUUAAGAUAUGGAGACACUACUUGAUGGGAGCUCACUGUAACAUCUACACUGAUCACAAGAGUCUCAAAUACAUCUUCACUCAGGCAGAUCUGAACAUGAGGCAGAGGAGAUGGUUGGAAUUAAUCAAGGACUACGAUUUGGAGGUGCAUUACCACCCUGGUAAGGCCAAUGUUGUGGCAGAUGCUUUGAGCAGAAAAGCCCAGUGNNNNNNNNNNNNNNNNNNNNNNNNNNNNNNNNNNNNNNNNNNNNNNNNNNNNNNNNNNNNNNNNNNNNNNNNNNNNNNNNNNNNNNNNNNNNNNNNNNNNCCCUCGAGAAGACUGUGCACACCUCCGUGAAGCUCCCCGGCGAGGAAUCGGAGUUUGCUUCGCCGGAGAGGCCAUCCACGCUCGCCGGAGCUCUCAACCCCGCCGGAGUACGUGGACCGGGUAAUCCACCAACCAUCCUUCGAUUCUUGUGCACACCGGUCCUACGUUACCCCGUGAAGCUCACCGUCCCUUGAUUGACCAGUUCGCCGUGGUUUGGCCGAUACACUCGCCGCCGAGAGAACACCCGCCUGCGCGCGUGGACCGGGCGAUUCGGCCAUCCCGACGUCAAGCCGUCACCUCGACGUGACCGCCAGAGCUCCCGAGCCAACCCCCCCUUCGCCGGACCUCCCCGCCGCCGGUAAGCCCGCGCACCCUUUUCUUUCCCGGGUUACUGUUUACAUAGGGGAAGGACUGCGGGUGAGAGGGAGAGAAGGUCAGGGGGUUUUGUGAAUAUGUCAGAGACACAGGGGAAUAGAUGUGCGCGAGGGUAAGAUUUGCGAAGGUUGAUUUAGUUUAAACCCAGGGACCUCGGUGUAAAACUGUUUUUUCCAGAAAACCUUUAUUAAAUCUGUUUUUAAUUUGAAACAGAAACUUUGAAAAUCCAUAACUUCUGUUUAGUUCAUCCAAAUUUGGUCAAAACCAAUUUUGUCAGACUCUAAAUAAUGUCACCUACUUAAGAAAAAUAUAAAACCCCAUGUACUAUAGAAAACAUUAAAGCUCUGAUUUAAAUUAUAGUUUUGACCAAAAGCUCAAUAAUAGGGCAAAAAUUAGUUGCACUAUUUGACUGGGGUUAGAAAAAUUUGAGAAGUUUGUAUCUACCUACUAACCCAAAUAAAAAUGUUAAAUCUCUCUGUCCACUCCAUUAAGCUAGUUUUUACCCCCUUAUUCUAUAAUAAUGCUUAAGGAUAAGGAAAAUAGAAAAUGUAAUUUAAAUAAUGAACCCAGAGAGUACCUCUAUUUUUGUUGGGAUACUUAUUCAAUGUAGUUCACUGGAAAAAUAUAUCAUACCCUGUUUUAGUAUAAAAUAAGUAGGAUCCCUUUUGUUUUAAUAAAAACAAGUGAAACUUAGAAAAACCCUACAAAAUAACCCAAGGUAAAAACACCCCCCACCCUUGGGAUAACUAAUGUUUUAUUAAUGAGGACUUAGGAAAAAAUAUGAAAUCUGCUGUUUGACAUGUUUCAAAUAAUAAUGUAGUAUAAAGUGCCUUUGGCAUUAAACUUAAGAAAAUCAUAACUAAAUAACCACCCCUUAGUUUUCUGUGAUUUUUAGCACAGAAGCCUAUUAUUACUAUGGGAUGACAGCAAAAAUAACCUUUAGGACAGAACCCACCCCUAACUAAGAGAUGUAGUGUAAAGUGGCCCAUUUUGCAUAACUAUUGUUAUUUUUGUUUAAAGCCUAGCCUUUAUAUUAUAAGCCUCAAAUUCUUAAAACCAGCUAGAACAGCAAAUGGCAACCCACUGUACUUUUUACAGAAUUUUGGAAAAUAUUAAAACCCUUGUCAUAGGUUCAAACCUACCCUAGAAACCCUGAGUAGAAAUUAAGAAAAGGGAAUUGAAUAGGGUAAUUAAUGUCAUCUUAAAACCCUGGUAAAUUUGUCCACUGAAAUCUAUAAAGGCAAUGCAAAUCCACUAGGUUAUCCUAAAUGAAAACCUAAGCCUAAAAGGUAAUAAGUAUAUAUACCACUAGAAGCCUCGCCUGACUAAGAAACCCUAAGUCACUUCUUGACGUAGUUCUUUUGUUAGCAUAUUGUUACUAAAUCUUGCAUAAUCAUAACAUACAUGUUCAUUGCAUUCGAUAGACUGUAACCUUGCUGACGGAGAGUACAUCCUCGUGCCGGGAGCAAGGAGCUGCUCAGGAGGUAGCCCAGGAUCCAGCACCCGAGCCUGCACCAGAGGACCUGUCUGCCACUGCUUUGGAAGGCAAGCCCCGGUUUUAUGCAUAACCUGUUAACUAUGCUAUUUUACUUCACUUAAUGAUUGUAGGAUUGAUUGUGCACAUAGGUGUAGGAAUUGUCUGGAACCCUAGUUGCAUGAUCUCAGGAAUCCUAUUGAGAUGAAUACUAGUAUGCUAGGUCGAGUAGCUGCUUUAUUAAGUAGGAUCUCGGUAGAAGACGAGUGAUUUUUCUAGCACUCGCGCGAGGUCAGGACAUUGAUUGUACCCCCCCCCCACUUUCAUAUCGUACUGAUGUUGGGUGUGGGCAACAAUCCAUGGGGAUUGGUUGUUCACGGGAUAAAAAUUUGAAUAAGGAUUAAGGUGUGGUACCGUGAGUCAAGCGUUUGAACGUACUAAGCACAUGCCGAGAAAUAUGGUAAAUCGGUAAGCCUAGUACCUGAGUGAACCUGGCAGUGGACAUAUCCCCUCACACGACCUGAGACGAGGUCUCCCAUUCCGGUUAUGGUGGGUACAAGUGCGGUCACUGCAUGACGGCCAGUCGGGGUCAGUGAGGCAUUGUACGCCAAGGCGGUGAGCCCUGAUCUGCUGACGGGGAAUCGAUGGGGACGGUUGACGUGUGUGGGGACGGAGUGCCCCUGCAUGUUGUGUGUUUAGGUUUACCUUGCAAGGAUAAAAACUCGAUUCGAAUCGUCUGCUUCUCGCAGCUAAUGAGACUGCUUGAUCCAUGCUGCUACAUUGAGUAACAAGUGAAAUUGUGCUGAGAUGAUACAAGAUUUUGAUGCUAAAAUGUUUGCUACUAUGUAUGAAUAGAUAGUACAUCUUUAGCCUUAAGAGAGUCACACUUAAUUUUGACAAAGUUAAAAACUUGAUUUAGAAACUCAGCUAGUGCUUUUGGCAACCAACCCCACAGCCAAACAUCUGCAUGUCUAGAGGUAGAGGAGUAGACUCCUCACACCGGGUAAGUCUAGCUGAGUAUUAGUAUACUCAGCCUUGCUUGUGGCAUAAUUUUUACAGGUUCUCUGGAGGAAAUGGUUGCUGGAGUGACUUGGCCGUCCAUCUUGCCACCGGGUUGGACUGUCGAGUGGGACCCUGCCUCGGCUGAGGAGGAGCAUGAGGAGUGAUGGACAGGCUUCCCCAUCUCUCUAUUUAUGUACCGUUAGUUUAUUUCCGCUGCACUUCGAACAAUGAUGGUUACUUUUGCAAAAACUCUGAUGAUGAUGAUGGUGAUGUAAUAAUUUAAUACUCUGACAUGUAUGGUUUUAUGCUUUAUUGUAUUUGCUCUGUGACUCACCUUCGAGUGAGAUUGUGGUACUUGAUCCUGUCAGUGGCCGUGUCGGACUAGAUCCGAGGGAUUGACGGGUUAUUCCCAUUUAAGUGUGGUCUAGCCUAUAAGGCGGGGCUUAGGCACUUAAGUUGGAAUAAUUCGGGCAGUUCCACCACAGCUGGUAUCGGAGCUUGUACCACCACAGAGGAAUCAAUAAAAUGUAAAUACCAUCAAUUUUCCAAGUAAAACUUGAUAGAAACAAUAUUGGAUAGAUAGUAGGACGAGCAGGAUAGACCUAGGACGUGAAGCCUUAGGGUAAUAGAAGGGUAGCUAGGUGGCUAAGUGAUUAGGCCCUACAGGCCACAUUUACAGGAGGGGAGUUCUUCCCUAUUCCUUUUAUCUUGUUGUGAGGUCGUUCAGGACGAGCAUGCAUGCAUUCUUAAUUAAGCCAAUGGAUAACUAAGCAAGGAUUUAAACACAAGAUAACCACCAACUAGGUUACCCGUGCCUUUUUAUUUAACUAGAGAAAGGUUGAGUUUUAUUUAUCUUGUUCUUUUUUAUAAUUCUUUUUCUUUUAUUUACGCUUAACCGUGCACAGAUGACUUCCACGGAUCCUCCGAUGACGGAAAUGCACUAACCCACACUUACGGGCUUGCACGAGAGGGCUUUCCCCGCAUUUUGUGGAGGUACUUCAGGGGGUCGGAUACACGACACCCCCUCAGUACGCGGUGCAGCAGUUCGAGAAGCACCGAGUGCCCCGCUGUAGGGUGAGGAUGACCUUGGAGCCUCAUCCCCUGCAGCCAGGCUGGCGCUCAUUGGACUCCGAGUCUUUCGGAUACCGAGCGGAGGACACGAUCGAGGCGAUCGCUCUGCAUGGAUUGACUACUUUCUGCGGGUUCCAUCCUUUGGAGCUGGCUACCCACCCCAUUGGCUUGUUCCCCGCUGAGAGGGAGGACGACCCAAUGUGGAAGGAUCGGGUGGAGCAUGCCAAGGAUAUCUAGGCCAUCUACCCAGGACAGACCGCGCACUUGACCGUACGGUGCAUGAAUGCUCUGUACCGUCUGCAGGUGAUGCGCGGUGAGGCGAUGUCCCAUCUGAUGGCACUGCUGGAGGCAACAAAGAUUACGUUGGAUAACAGAGAGGAACUCGUGGUUGACUUGUCUCAAGAAAUGGUGGAGAAGGACUUGCAGGUGGAGCAGCUAUCCACUGAUAUUCAGGAGUUGGAGGAGCUAGUGGGCACCAGGGAGAACACCAUCGAGGUUCUAGAGGAUCAGCUCAUUAACACUCAGCAGCAGCUUGCUGAGGCUAACGAGCACCUGGAUAUGCAUCACCAGGAGAUCCAGGACCUGGAGGCCAACGAGUACGUCGACAUCGAGGGAGGAGAUGAGCCUGCCUCAAGUGUGGACACUGCUGGCUCGGGAAGACCACCUUCCCCCAAGUCAAGUGUUGCUUCGUUCGCUCACUAGGUGUUCAGGAUAGGAUUAGAAGUUGGAUGGUCGGACUCCUCGCAGCUAGCUUAGCUUUUGCACCCUUGGGGUACUAGGCUAGAUAGAGUUGAGUCAUUUUGGGACAAUUGAUGUAAUCGGGCUAAACUCUCUUGAAAGCUUGUUUGAUGGAUGCUGUCAUCAGUUUAAAUUUGGAAGGAAGAAAUUGUGCCUUUUAAAAUCCUUUUGUUGAAGUCGGAGUCUAUCAUGUUGUUUUAACUUUUUCCUUCGCGGUAAACUUCUUGAACUUGGGAAUAAGGUGUUAAGUAUGUGGUUUUUCAGAUGGCCGGGAGGCAGCGUCGUGGCCAGAAUGAGCGCGUUCCUCCACCGCCACCGCCUCCCACUCUGCAGGAGCUCAUGGCUCAGCAGAAUGAGAUCUUGAGACAGCUGGCUCAACGUCAGCCACCACCUCAGCACUAUGGUGGUGGAGACCAUCAGCGUCACCCCGCGGCGGCUACCUAUCAGGAGUUCCUCAGCACCCAGCCUCCAUUGUUCACAAGGGCAGAGGACCCGCUUGAUGCAGAUGUGUGGCUGCGAGUGGUGGAAUCCAAAUUCCCACUGCUCCAUGGAGCUUGCUCAGAGGUCACCAAAGUCAGGUUCGCCACCCAGCAGCUUCGCGGACCCGCAAGGACUUGGUGGGAUCACUUUCUUGCUAUGCAGCCAGAGGACCGAGAGGUGGAGUGGAGGGAGUUCAAGGCAGCUUUCAGAGGACACCAUAUACCAGCCGGGAUCAUGGACCGGAAGCUCAAUGAGUUUUUAGCACUCACUCAGGGCAACAGGACAGUAUUGCAGUAUGCCCAGGCCUUUAAUGACUUGUGCCAGUAUGCUGGGUAUCAUGCAGAUACAGAUGAGAAGAAGAGAGACAGGUUCCGGAGGGGGCUCAGCACUAAGCUCCAUGACCGUCUCAACACUGUCAGGGCCAACAGUUACAAUGAGUUGGUCAACAUGGCUAUCUCCCAAGAGGACUGCAUUACAGCUAGACAGGCAGAGAAGAAGAGGAAGACCCCUGUGACAGGACCUUCAGCUCAGCCACAGCGCUUCAGGAUUGUGUCCGACACCCAGGGCAGGGGACCCCAGCAGCAGCAAGGGCGAUGGGUGAUCCGACCACAGCAGCAGCAGCCGCAGGCACCCAACCGCACCCAAUUUCCAGCUCAGAGGAGCAAUCAGCAGCAACAGCAGUACCGCCAGGCAAAUGACAACAGGUGCUUCACAUGUGGCAACACCGGGCAUUACGCCAAAAAUUGCCCCAGGAACCAGCAGAGGCAGGGGCAGAAUGUCAAUCAGAACCAAGGCAAGAGACAGAAGGUGCAAGUAAGGCAGGGCAGGCUGAACUUCACCACCAUGGCUGAUAUUCCAGAGGGAGCACCCGUCAUGACUGGUAUCUUUACAGUUUUGAAUUAUCCUGCUAUUAUUCUUUUUGAUUCUGGUGCAUCGCAUAGUUUUAUCAGUGCCAAGUUUAGUGCCAAGUGCCAAUUACCUUUUCACCACACCAACGGAGGUAUCACAAUUUCAACCCCAGGAGGCAGGGUUGCCACCUACCAAAUUAACAAGAAUGUGCCUAUAAAGUUUGGUAGUCUGAUAAUUAAAACCAACCUCCUCAUUUUGGGGUUGGAUAGUGUGGAUAUCAUAUUGGGAACUGAUUGGUUGACCAGAAAUCAGGUUGUGAUAGAUAUUGCAGCUAGAGCCAUUGAGGUGCACUCACCAACUUGUGGUGGAACCACAUUAUUUUUGCCUGACCAGGGUUGUACCCGAUCUUGUGCCUUUGUUAUGUUAGAAUCCCCAGUGGACAAGAUCCCAGUGGUCCGUGACUACCCGGAUGUGUUUCCGGAAGAAUUACCCGGAAUGCCACCUGACCGAGACAUUGAGUUCGCAAUUGAGUUGCAACCCGGGACCGCUCCUAUCUCCAAGAGACCCUAUAUGAUGCCUCCCGCAGAAUUGGCAGAAUUGAAGAAGCAAUUGCAAGAAUUGUUGGACAAGGGGUUUAUUCGCCCAAGUACUUCACCAUGGGGAUGUCCAGCAUUGUUUGUGAAGAAAAAGGAUGAGAGUUUGAGGAUGUGUGUUGACUACCGCCCUCUUAAUGCAGUGACUAUCAAGAACAAAUACCCACUGCCCCGUAUUGAUGUUCUGUUCGAUCAGUUGGUAGGAGCCAAGGUAUUCUCCAAGAUAGACCUUCGCUCAGGGUACCAUCAGAUCAAGAUCCGUGCCAGCGAUAUUCCCAAGACGGCUUUCUCUACCAGAUAUGGGUUGUAUGAAUUUUUGGUGAUGUCUUUUGGGCUGACCAAUGCCCCGGCUUAUUUUAUGUACCUGAUGAACUCAGUGUUUAUGCCAGAAUUGGAUAAGUUCGUGGUCGUUUUCAUUGAUGAUAUUCUGGUCUAUUCCAAGAAUAAAGACGAACAUACUGAGCACCUGCACAUCGUGCUUCAGCGGCUGCGCGAUCAUCAUCUUUACGCUAAGUUGUCUAAAUGUGAGUUCUGGCUGAAGGAAAUCAAAUUCUUGGGUCAUACAAUUUCUCAGGAUGGGAUAUCAGUUGAUCCUGAAAAGGUACAAGAAGUGAUGGAUUGGAAACCCCUGGCUACAGUGAGACAGAUUCGGAGUUUUCUGGGAUUGGCAGGGUAUUAUCGACGAUUUAUUCCGGAUUUCUCCAGGAUUGCCAAACCAAUGACUGAACUGUUAAAGAAGGGAGUCAAGUAUAAUUGGAGCCAAAAGUGUGAAGAUGCCUUUCACACAUUGAGGCAGCAUUUGACAACAGCCCCAGUGUUGGCUCAACCUGACAACACCAAGCCAUUUGAAGUUUAUUGUGAUGCUUCUGGUACCGGAUUGGGAUGUGUCUUGAUGCAAGAGAACAGGGUCAUUGCUUAUGCUUCCCGAGCACUCAGACCCCAUGAGCAGAACUACCCCACUCAUGAUCUGGAAUUGGCAGCUGUGGUUCAUGCUCUUAAGAUAUGGAGACACUACUUGAUGGGAGCUCACUGUAACAUCUACACUGAUCACAAGAGUCUCAAAUACAUCUUCACUCAGGCAGAUCUGAACAUGAGGCAGAGGAGAUGGUUGGAAUUAAUCAAGGACUACGAUUUGGAGGUGCAUUACCACCCUGGUAAGGCCAAUGUUGUGGCAGAUGCUUUGAGCAGAAAAGCCCAGUGCAAUUGUAUGAGCAUGGAUGCAAGAGUCACCACCCUGUGCGAUGAGUUGUGCAAGCUGAACCUGGAAGUUGUUUCUUCGGGUGACCUAAGCUAUAUCUCGGUGGAGCCCACAUUGCAAGAACAGAUAGUCAGGGCACAGGUUGAGGAUAAGGGUGUUCAGGUUAUCAAAGUUAUGAUCAAGCAAAAGGCAGAAAAAUACAAGUGUUUCCGACAGGACAGCAAGGGAAUUCUAUGGUUUGGAGAUCGAUUGGUUGUUCCCAAGGACCCUAAGCUCAGAAAGAAGAUACUGGAUGAAGCUCACCUUUCCAAAUUCUCCAUGCACCCUGGUAGCAACAAGAUGUACCAUGAGCUCAGAUCUCUAUAUUGGUGGACUAGAAUGAAAAGGGAAAUUGCCAAGUACAUAUCCGAGUGUGACACCUGCCAGAGAAUCAAAGCUAGUCAUUUGAAGGCAGCAGACCCUUUGCAACCCCUUCCCAUACCAUCUUGGAAAUGGGAGGAUAUUUGCAUGGACUUCAUAGUGGGAUUACCCAAUACUUCCAGGCACCAUGAUUCUAUUUGGGUUAUCGUGGACAGGUUGACAAAGACUGCGCAUUUCUUGCCAAUACACACCACCCACAGGACAGAGAAAUAUGCAGAGAUCUACAUUGAUCAAAUAAUUCGUCUGCAUGGGAUACCUAAGACUAUAGUCUCGGACAGAGGAGCACCAUUCGUGGCACGAUUUUGGGAACAAUUGCAAGAAUCACUUGGGACCCAUGUCAUCCGAAGCUCAGCAUACCACCCCCAAACAGAUGGCCAGACAGAAAGGGUGAAUCAGAUUUUUGAAGACAUGUUGCGAGCAUGUGCACUACACUAUGGAAAGGAAUGGGACAAGUGUCUGUCUUUGGCAGAGUUUUCUUACAAUAACAGCUAUCAGUCCAGUCUGAAGAUGGCACCUUUCGAAGCCUUAUAUGGGAGAAGGUGUAGGACCCCACUAAAUUGGUCUCAAGCAGGAGAAAGGGAAAUUUUUGGGCCAGACUUGGUACUCGAGGCAGAGGCAAAGGUCAGGGUUAUUACCAAGAACUUAGAAGCUGCUCAGGCCAGGCAAAGGAGCUAUCAUGAUAAGAGGCGGGAGCCUCUACAGUUUGAGGUGGGAGAUCAUGUCUAUCUUAAGGUAUCACCCACCAAGGGUGUCCAGAGAUUCGGGAUCAAGGGCAAGUUAGCCCCUCGCUACAUUGGACCCUAUGAGAUCAAGGCAAGUUGUGGACCUGUAGCCUAUCAGUUGGAAUUACCACCUCACAUGUCAGCAGUUCACAAUGUGUUCCAUGUAUCUCAGCUGCGGAAAUGUGUUCGCCUACCCACUGAAGUGUUACCGGAACCAGACAUUGAGAUAGAACCAGACUUGUCCUACCAAGAGUACCCCGUCAAGAUAUUAGAUCAAAAGGAAAGAUCAACUCGGGCAAGGUCGGUCAGAAUGUAUAAAGUUCAGUGGAGUCACCAUUCAGCAGAAGAAGCUACAUGGGAGACUGAGGAUUUUCUGCGCUCUCGCUUCCCCGACUUUCUGCCCAAAGGAGUCGGUACGUAACCCCAAAACCCCACCCCCACCUGCCCUUUGAAUUCAAUUAUAAGAAAAACUUAGAUAUCAAGGAUAGUCUAAGUUGUGGAUUUAACUUAAGAAGGGCUUCCUUCUGAAGUUGCAAAGAGGAUGACAUUCGAAGAGCAGUUAAUAAGAGAAACUUAAAUAUCAAGGAAAAACAACACCAGCACACCUUCAAGCACCCUCCAAGGGACUCUACCUAAAAUCUCGGGACGAGAUUCCUUUAAGGGGGGAGGGCUGUAACACCCCAGGUGUUACCAUGGCUAGAGCACACCCUGACACUAAGGACUGUGAGUUAUAUGGGGUAAAGGCUUAGGGCAACACAUAAGAACCUUGGAGAUCAUGUGCUAAUCAAGUUGCCAAUGACCUAAGAAGCAUUACUCUAAUCCUUGCUCACUUACUACCUUGGAUAAGAGGGGAGAAGAACCCUAGACCUCUCUUAAACCCUAUCUCCCAAAACCCUAGGUAAGAGGGGAAAGGGAGUGAACAAGUGUGCAAAGCAAGAGUAAUUUUUACCCAAACCUUAACUAGCCUUAUAACCAUCAAUUAGGGGAGGGAAAUAUUGCAAGAAGACCCCUGGAGAAACCCCAAUUCAAAUCUCCAAGUGGAGAGAGAGCUAGAGCUCUCUAUUUCCCUCUAAGUCAAAUUCUAACCCUAAUCCAAAGACCAACCGUGUUCACCUUGAAGAUGGCACCAAAACCACUUAGGUUCUAUACCAAAAAUGUGGUAUACCACCUAAGGCACCCCCUGGAAAAAGUGGAAACCGAGACUUGGACGUUUGACAGGAUUUGGCAUCAGUUUUUUCGCGGUGUGGGCAGUGAGACAAGCCAGAUUUGGCGCCCGUCUAUCUCCUGAUCUAGGGCGUAUCCUCCAUUGGAACUCACACAUGUGAGAUAGCCCUAGGUGCCAGGAAGAGGUCUGCGCCGGAUUCAUGGCAAGAUUCGCACGUUUGCGAUCUCUGGAGACGUUUGAACAAUGGAAGAAACACACCUCCACGUGUUCGACGCUUCCUGCCCGCGCCAGAGCACGCUCGCGCGCGCCCCCGCAUGCCCAGCGCCGCGCCCGAGCCAAGCCAGCGCCAUGGCCCGCGCCCGCGCCUAUAAAACCCUCCCAGACUUCGACUGCACUCUUCCGCGCACCCUCAAACCUCACCGGAGUCUAGCUCGCCACUGUUUGCCCGUGCGCAGCGUGUCCGCGGCCGCCCAAUCCCUCUGUCACCGUAGACCGGCCAAUAGAGCCAUUCCCAACCCCGUCCAGCCCUCGGAGAAGACUGUGCACACCUCCGUGAAGCUCCCCGAGCGAGGAAUCGGAGUUUGCUUCGCCGGAGAGGCCAGUCCACGCUCGCCGGUGCUCUCAACCCCGCCGGAGUACGUGGACCGGGUAAUCCACUCAACCAUCCUUCGAUUCCUUGUGCACAUGGUCCCUACGUUACCCCGUGAAGCUCACCGUGCCCUUGGAUUGAACCAGUUCGCCGUGGUUUGGCCGGUACACUCGCCGCCGACGAGAACACCCGCCUGCGCGCGUGGACCAGGCAAUUCCGGCCAUCCCCGACUUCAAGCCGUACCUCGACGUGACCGCCAGAGCCUCCCCGAGCCAACCCCACCCUUCGCCGGACCUCCCUCGCCGCCGGUAAGCCGUGCCACCCUUUUCUUUCCCGCGGUUACUGUUUGCAUAAGGGGAAGGACUGCGGGUGAGAGGGAGAGAAGGUCAGGGGGUUUUGUGAAAUGUCAGAGACACAGGGGAAUAGUGGCGCGAGGGUAGAUUUGCGAAGGUUGAUUUAGUUUAAACCCAGGGACCUCGGUGUAAACUGUUUUUUCAUAAAACCUUUAUUAAAUCUGUUUUUAAUUUGAACAGAAACUUUGAAAAUCCAUAACUUCUGUUUAGUUCAUCCAAAUUUGGUCAAACCAAUUUUGUCAGACUCUAAAUAAUGUAACCUACUUAAGAAAAAUAUAAAACCCCCCAUGUACUAUAGAAAACAUUAAAGCUCUGAUUUAAUUAUAGUUUUGACCAAAAGCUCAAUAAUAGGGCAAAAAUUAGUUGCACUAUUUGACUGGGGUUAGAAAAAUUUUGAGAAGUUUGUAUCUACCUACUAACCCAAAUAAAAAUGUUAAAUCUCUCUGUCCACUCCAUUAAGCUAGUUUUUACCCCUUAUUCUAUAAUAUGCUUAAGGAUAAGGAAAAUAGAAAAUGUAAUUUAAAUAAUGAACCAGAGAGUACCUCUAUUUUUGUUGGGAUACUUAUUCAAUGUAGUUCACUGGAAAAAUAUAUCAUACCCUGUUUUAGUAUAAAAUAAGUAGGAUCCCUUUUGUUUUAAUAAAACAAGUGAAACUUAGAAAAACCCUACAAAAUAACCCCAAGGUAAAAACACCCCCACCCUUGGGAUAACUAAUGUUUUAUUAAUGAGAACUUAGGAAAAAUAUGAAAUCUGCUGUUUGACAUGUUUCAAAUAAUAAUGUAGUAGAAAGUGCCUUUUUGGCAUUAAACUUAAGAAAAUCAUAACUAAAUAACCACCCCUUAGUUUUCUAUGAUUUUUAGCACAGAAGCCUAUUAUUACUAUGGGAUGCCAGCAAAAAUAACCUUUAGGACAGAACCCACCCCUAACUAAGAGAUGUAGUGUAAAGUGGCCCAUUUUGCAUAACUAUUGUUAUUUUUGUUUAAAGCCUAGCCUUUAUAUUAUAAGCCUCAAAUUCUUAAAACCAGCUAGAACAGCAAAUGGCAACCCACUGUACUUUUUACAGAAUUUUUGGAAAAUAUUAAACCCCUGUCAUAGUUCAAACCUACCCUAGAAACCCUGAGUAGAAAUUAAGAAAAGGGAAUUGAAUAGGGGUAAUUAAUGUCAUCUUAAAACCCUGGUAAAUUUGUCCACUGAAAUCUAUAAAGGCAAUGCAAAUCCACUAGGUUAUCCUAAAUGAAAACCUAAGCCUAAAAGGUAAUAAGUAUAUAUACCACUAGAAGCCUCGCCUGACUAAGAAACCCUAAGUCACUUCUUGACGUAGUUCUUUUGUUAGCAUAAUGUUACUAAAUCUUGCAUAAUCAUAACAUACAUGUUCAUUGCAUUCGAUAGACUGUAACCUUGCUGACGGAGAGUACAUCCUCGUGCCGGAGCAAGGAGCUGCUCAGGAGGUAGCCCAGGAUCCAGCACCCGAGCCUGCACCAGAGGACCUGUCUGCCACUGCUUUGGAAGGCAAGCCCCGGUUUUAUGCAUAACCUGUUAACUAUGCUAUUUUACUUCACUUAAUGAUUGUAGGAUUGAUUGUGCACAUAGGUGUAGGAAUUGUCUAGAACCCUAGUUGCUUGAUCUCAGGAAUCCUAUUGAGAUGAAUACUAGUAUGCUAGGUCGAGUAGCUGCUUUAUUAAGUAGGAUCUCGGUAGAAGACAAGUGAUUUUUCUAGCACUCGCGCGAGGUCAGGACAUUGAUUGUACCCACUUUCAUAUCGUACUGAUGUUGGGUGUGGGCAACAAUCCAUGGGGAUUGGUUGUUCACGGGAUAAAAAUUUGAAUAAGGAUUAAGGUGUGGUACCGUGAGUCAAGCGUUUGAACGUACUAAGCACAUGCCGAGAAAUAUGGUAAAUCGGUAAGCCUAGUACCUGAGUGAACCUGGCAGUGGACAUAUCCCCUCACACGACCUGAGACGAGGUCUCCCAUUCCGGUUAUGGUGGGUACAAGUGCGGUCACUGCACGACGGCCAGUCGGGGUCAGUGAGGCAUUGUACGCCAAGGCGGUGAGCCCUGAUCUGCUGACGGGGAAUCGAUGGGGACGGUUGACGUGUGUGGGGACGGAGUGCCCCUGCAUGUGGUGUGUUUAGGUUUACCUUGCAAGGAUAAAAAAUCGAUUCGAAUCGUCUGCUUCUCGCAGCUAAUGAGACUGCUUGAUCCAUGCUGCUACAUUGAGUAACAAGUGAAAUUGUGCUGAGAUGAUACAAGAUGUUGAUUGCUAAAAUGUUUGCUACUAUGUAUGAAUAGAUAGUACAUCUUUAGCCUUAAGAGAGUCACACUUAAUUUUGACAAAGUUAAAAACUUGAUUUAGAAACUCAGCUAGUGCUUUUGGCAACCAAACCCCACAGCCAAACAACUGCAUGUCUAGAGGUAGAGGAGUAGACUCCUCACACCGGGUAAGUCUAGCUGAGUAUUAGUAUACUCAGCCUUGCUUGUGGCAUAAUUUUUACAGGUUCUCUGGAGGAAAUGGUUGCUGGAGUGACUUGGCCGUCCAUCUUGCCACCGGGUUGGACUGUCGAGUGGGACCCUGCCUCGGCUGAGGAGGAGCAUGAGGAGUGAUGGGACAGGCUUCCCCAUCUCUCUAUUUAUGUACCGUUAGUUUAUUUCCGCUGCACUUCGAACAAUGAUGGUUACUUUUGCAAAAACUCCGAUGAUGAUGAUGGUGAUGUAAUAAUUUAAUACUCUGACAUGUAUGGUUUUAUGCUUUAUUGUAUUUUCUCUGUGACUCACCUUCGAGUGAGAUUGUGGUACUUGAUCCUGUCAUUGGCCGUGUCGGACUAGAUCCGAGGGAUUGACGGGUUAUUCCCAUUUAAGUGUGGUCUAGCCUCUAAGGCGGGGCUUAGGCACUUAAGUUGGAAUAAUUCGGGCAGUUCCGCCACACCGUGCGGGUGGGCUAGAUAAAAAGGUAUUAUCUGAAAACUGUAGGCCAAAUCCAUGGAGCAGGAAGAUAAAGUUGUCAUAGAAACGCGUCCAAGGGGGUGAAUUUCCUCUUUAUAAUUUGACAUGCAUGGGUGUAAACCAUCAGGCCGGGUUUAAGUGGGCAGACCUCACCAGGCUGGUGUAAUAUAUGCGAAAUUUAAUUAUAAAAGGAGAAAAUUUUAACCCCUCAGAGUUGCUUCUAUGGAUUGAACUUACAGAGAUAGGAAGGGGUACUCUUUCAGGUAUAGCAGAGUUGGCAUCCCUCGGGUUGGCAUAUUUCCAUUGCCUUGAGGGGUUCCUUCCCUACAGGGGGAGAGGUUGCGGAUCCCCUCUUGGCUCAGUACUUUGCCACAGGAUUAGGUCCCGACCCUAGGUUCCCUACAAUGCAUGAACCGUCGGCCGUAGUACUUGAGCGCCUGGUUACGAUUUGCAUUUUGGGUUGCAACUUGACAUCUGAGUCCUCCGCUUGAGUCCACGUCCUCGCGCUGUAGCGAUCCCUACACAAACCCAUCGAAAGGUUGGACCCGUGGGGAGUCCAGAAGGGUUUCUGGGGGAAGGCAGGCUUCGACCCCGUAGGCCAGGUAGCACGGAGCCCCAUGGUGGUCCGUCUAGUUGCCUUCACCAGAAUUAGAGCCUCCAGUGAAGACAUCCUUCAGGACCCCCUCGGGUGAUUGAUACCCGAGGUCCGGUUUGGCCGCAGUCACCUCUUCGUCGUCAUCCCUUUCCUUACUGGGUCGGCGACGGGGUGGGGAGCCAUCCUCGGAAGACUGCUCGCGCCGCGCGCUGACACAUUUCGCGAGGUCGAUGAUCUCGUGACAUUCUGUGGCGUUGUGGUGACUAUAGGUGUACAUUCGGGCCGCCCGGCCCGGCCCGGCCCAAGCCCGAAAAGGCCCGUAAUGUUUGAAUUUCGGGCCGGCCCGGCCCGUUUGAAUUUCGGGUCGUGCCGGGCCGGCCCAUGGGCCUAGCCCUCGGCCCACGGCCCGGCCCGUAAUUGCUUAAACGUGCCGGGCUCAUUUCGGGCGGCCCGAAAUUAUAAAAGCCCGAAAUUCACAUUACGGCCCGAAAUUCAAUUUUAGGCCCGAAAUUCAGUUUUUGGCCCAAAAUUCACAUUAGAGCCCUAAAUUCAAAAAAAACAAAUAAAAGAUAAGACAAAUAAAUUUGAACAAAAUCAAACUUAGUAUUUGUAUUAAAGUUACCACAGCUAUGCAAUGACUACCUCGUUUAUAAAUCAUUUUGUUAGAAGGAAAAAGAGUAUAAUCAGAUCUAUACAAAGUUCGUAAGUUCAGUUUAUUGUCUAAUGUUCAUAACAAAAGCAAAAUUACAUCACACACUCUAAUUCAAAGCUACAAAAAACAUCUAACUAGCAUUAUCUCUAGCUUUGUGUUAUUUAUCAAGUAUAUGAAAGUGUGGAAUGAAGUGUGGUUUUAAUAAAUAUAUGGGCCUUUUCGUGCUUCUAUAUGGGCCAUUUCGUGCCUGCCUUAAACGGGCCGUGCUCGUGCCCGCCCAUGGACCGUGACCUCGGCCCAAACCCGGCCCGAUAUAAUGGACCGUGCCGGCCCGGCACUAAAUUAUUUCGGGUCGUGCCGUGCCUGGGCCGUGCUUUUUUUUCGUGCUUCGGGCCGGCCCACCAGGCCCGGCCCAAAUGUACACCUAUAGUGGUGACCAUUGGGGUGCAUGGGGCAUGUGUCGCCGUUACCCCUUGUUGGUCGUGGCGUUUGCUGCGGUCACCCCGGCCCCCAGUCGCAGCUGCCACGACCAGAGCGGCGGAGUGCGGCUUCUCGUUGCCGCGGUUCUUUUUCUUCUUUUUCUUGCCGUCCUGAGCGACAGCACCUGAGCCGCCCGUUUGGGCAGCCCCGGGCUGUGGCGCUGAGUGCCACGCACGGCCCUCAGCAGCCCUGGCACACUUGUCGGCCAGAGCAAAGAGAGUGGGGACCGUUUCCACGUCAUGCGUGGCCAACUUCUCCAACAUCUUUUUAUCAUGUACCCCCUGGCGGAAGGCCAUGAUGAUAGAAGCAUCGGAGAUGCGAGGUAUAGUACCUCGCACCUUGGUGAAGCGGGAGACAAAUGUCCGGAGAGUUUCUCCGAGCUCCUGCCUUACUGCGUGCAGGUGGGCCUCCACGUCGUGUUGCUGGUAAGCACUAGCAAAGUUCGCAACGAACCGUGCGCAGAACUCUUCCUAGGAGUAGAUUGACCCUGGGGCGAGGUUCAUGAGCCAUGUCCGAGCUGGUCCAGACAAGGCGACAUGAAAAUAUGUCGCCAUCACAGCGGUGUUUCCACCUGCUGCCGUGAUGGCGGUGACGUACACCUGCAGGAACUCCGAUGGGUUUGACGUUCCGUCAUACUUUUCCGGCAGGUGCGGUCGGAACUUGGGCGGCCAUGACGCUGUGCGGAGAUGAUCUGCGAGAGCGACGCAGCCCACGCCGGCCAAGGGGACACUCGCUUGGGACCGGGUGCCCAUUGGUGUCUGCAGCGCUAUCGCAGCGAAGUCUUGAUCGAGGUUGCGGCCCUCGAUAUUUUGGCGGCGCUCGCGCGCCCUCUCCAAAGAUACCCGGGCGUCCUCUCCCGCACGCCUGCGGUCGAGUUCUGCCCGAAGGUCGUUGGUCUGUGCGCCCUUACUGAGGGUGAGCGCACAGACGCCGACACCUCAUGUUGGCGCCGGGAUGACCGUGGCCUCGACCUGGUCGAGGUACAAUGUGUCAUACCGAGCAGUCGGUCAACAUCGUCCCGCCAUUGCUUCAUGGCCCCUGGUGAGGCCGUGGAGCUUGGAGGGUGUCGCAGCAACUCCCUGGCUGCUGACAACGCUCCCAGAGCCGCCCUCGACGGAGUCCGGGAUGUCUGUGCAGUUGUAUGCUGCCGUGCGGCGUGCACAGCAGCAGUGCCCGGCACAGGGCAGUUGGGAACCUGUGGCGUGGAAGAAGCAGCUUCUUCCUCCACCACAAAAUCCACCAAAGUCUCGGCGCGGUGCUCAACGAUUUGCACCAUCAUGCUGAGCAAGGAAACAAGCAAAAACCUAAUGCCUAGCCCCCUACCUGGCGCGCCAAAUGUCGGAGAGGAAAUUCUCCACCCGGGUGGUGGAGUGCACCCGCCCUAAGUCCUAAGAUGUGGAGGGGGCUUAAGCGUUUUGCUUGUUGCGAGAUGUAGGAAUGAACAUGCAAGAGUUUAGAGUGGUUCGGGCUGUCGGAGCGUAAUACCCUACUCUACUGUGUGUUGUAUUGCUUGAGAGCUUGAGUUGUGUCUUGGAUCGCUUGGGUCUAAGCCCCCUGUAACGUUGCAUACCUCCCCUUUUAUAGCUAAGGGGGGCUUGUACAAGAGUGCUAAGCCCCGACAUGUGGGCCCAGGAGUAUCGCGGAAGUGGUACUUGGAGCUACUAAUAUUUGCUACUGGGGCAAUCUUCUUGCGCCCUGCCACCCGAGAUCGGCGUGCAGGGGAAGCUUCUUGUAUAAGGGACGAUGAGCACAGUGCGCCACGCGGCACGGGCGUACUGUUUGACAAUGGACUGGACAGGUGCGCCGUCUGCAGGAUGGCUCUGGCACCGCUGCCAGCGGAAUGGACAGGACGCAUUAAAUGCUGAGGGGGCACAUCACCUGUCAGUAGGGUGGACAGGCGGCGCGUCCUCUCCACAAUAAAUGUAGAGACCGCACGGCCUAGGGGCCUUACGUUAGGCUCUUCCUGUUGGCUUAUGUCAUGGGCAACAAGCCACGUGGUAGCAUCGGAUCUUCGCCUAAGCUGGGAGCGCAAGCGCACGGUAUAAGGCCCGGACACGUGUCGGUACUGGGCCCUUGCUCAUGCCAGGGUUUCCCCUGUCCCGGGACCUUGUUGCGGCCCGGUCCUUACUCGGAGGGAUCUAGACCCCAUCCAAGGGACCCGGCACGCUUACCCGAGAGUCCUGGGCCAUAAUUGGGGGUCUGGGUUGUGCAUACAGGGGUCCGGUGCUCCCUCAUGGAGGUCCGGCCCGACUGAUACGUCCUAGAUGUAUCAUCUUUCCUUGCCAUAUGGUGCCCCUUGAUCUGCCCACGUGGUGGGAUGAGCGCUGUUCACCGUGUGGCUAAGGAGCGGCGUAGGGGCAACGCAUCUUCAUACUGUAGUAAGGGGUACCCCUGAUUCAGGGUACCGACAGAGGCGUCGAUGGGGAGCCUACUUGAUGUAAACUCUUCUUUCUUUUCUUCUGUCGCUUUAAAUGCGACGGGUUGCACCUCGGGUGUUGAGGUGGCGCCUUGCUCCAAAUUUACAAUGUGUUUGGAGUCUUUGAUCAUAAGUUCAAAGCUCACAAACUUGCCAAUCACUUCCUCGGGAGACAUCUGUUUAUAUCUAGAGUCUCCACGGAUUAGUUGCACUUGAGUGGGAUUAAGAAAAACAAGUGAUCUAAGAAUAAUCUUGACCAUUUCAUGGUCAUCCCACUUGGUGCUCCCAAGGUUGCGCACUUGGUUGACCAAGGUCUUGAGCUGGUUGUACAUUGCUUGUGGCUCCUCUCCUUGGUUGAGGACGAAUCGACUGAGCUCCCCCUCGAUCGUCUCCCGCUUGGUGAUCUUGGUCACCUCAUCUCCUUCGUGUGCGGUCUUAAGGACGUUCCAAAUAUCCUUGGCACUCUUUAACCCUUGCACCUUAUUAUACUCCUCUCGACACAAAGAGGCGAGGAGUAUAGUAGUUGCUUGGGAGUUAAAGUGUCGUAGUUGGGCGACCUCGUCCGAGUAGUAGCCCUCGUCUCCCAUCGUAGGUACCUGCGCUCCAAAUUCAACAAUGUCCCAAAUGCUUGCGUGGAGUGAGGUUAGGUGAUGCCUCAUUUUAUCACUCCACAUACAAUAAUCCUCACCAUCAAAAUAUGGUGGUUUGCCUAAUGGAACAGAGAGUAGAGGAGCGCGCUUAGAAAUACGGGGAUAACGAAGUGGCAUCUUAUUGUACUUCUUGCUCUCAUGGCGCUUAGAAGUGACGGACGCUGCGUCAGAGCUGGAUAUGGAGGGCGACAAAGAGUCGGUCUUGGAGUAGACCACUUUCUUCAUCUUCUUCUUCUUGUCGCCACUCCGAUGCGACUUGACGAAAGGAGGGGAUCCCUUCUUGGCUUUGGUACCAGACUGUAACAUCCCAAAAUCUCAACCCAAGGUUUGGAACCCUAAUCUCCUAAACCCCCCUUUUUUCUAUUUUCUCCCUAAACUCCAUCCUUAGGUCAUCUCAUCAUAUGCAUACACUUGGAUUGUUAGGAGCACCUCACAGAUUAUUUUCAACACUUAAGAUUAUUUAGCAAAUUGUUGAUUCAAAAGAAAAAGAAAUAAAAAGAAACAAAAAUAGAAAAUGGAAAAGUGAAAUAGAAAACAGAAAAAGAAAAAGAAAAAGGAAAAAAACCUUCCCGCCUGGGCCGUUUCUGGCCCAAGUCGCGCCCGCGCCCGCGUUUUCCCCCUCUCCUCCCCGGCCCAAGCGGCCCAGCUGCGCGCGCCCGCGCCGCGCCUGACAGCCCGGCCCCACCGGUCAGCGGCUCCUCCCCUCUCCCUCUCACGCCGCUCUCCCACUGGCAGCCCGUGCCCGCCUGUCAGGACCAUCGUCCCGCCCAUGCCUUCACCGGCGCGUUCGCCGCCGACCACCGCCGUCCCAUCUCCUCGCCAUUAACGCGCGCAUCGGCCUCAGCUACCUCCUCGCCACUGUACCCCAGCCGUCCCCUCACCCCUCGCCUGCCCGAGCCAUCUCGUCGCUGUUUGCUCCAUCACCGCCAUCAUGGCGGGCUCGUCGGCGCUCGCCGUCCCCUUCCUUCCUUCCCCCUCCCGACCGCCUACAAAAGGGUCCGCCCGAGCCCCUUGUUCCUCCACACCAGAACUCGGCCACCCCGCCUCCCCUCCCUCGAGCUCAAUCGAAUUCGGCGUCGUCGUCUCUCCCCUCUCCGGUGAGCUCCGACCUCCUCCCUCUGCUAAGUCCCAGUCCAAUUCAUAUGCUUCUUGAGCUUCGCCACUCCCUCACGAACGCAAUGCACCCAUCCCCACCUCCUAUUACGCUCGGCUGCCUCGUCGGCGACCUCACCACCGCGUGCGCUCGCCACCGCGCCAUGGACCGGCCACCCUAGGCCUCCGCCGGUCAAAUUGACCCCACCCCCGUGACCCCCUACCACCACCACUUCCCCGUUGUGAAACUGGGAUCCCGGCGAAGAACAGCCGCGGGCAUCACCGGUGGUCGAGCCGACCGGUUCGCCCCCCCCCCCCCUCCGUCGCCCACUCCGCGCCGUUAAACCCCUCCUCUCGCUGACACGUGGGCCCAUGUCGCGCCGCUCUUUCGUGGGCCGGCUGGGCCGCCUGGCGUGCCCGCGCGCGCGUUCGCGCUCGGCUGGGCCAAAAAUCACCCCCCCCCCCGACCCAGCUAGCUAGAAAUCCUUUCUCCUUUUUCUUUUCCCAUUUUCAUAUAUAUAUUUUAUGCUGAUAUUUUAUGCACGAAAAAUGGUUUAAAUAAAUCAUAGGGCACAAAAAUAAUAAGGUAUAAGAAUUGGCACACCCCACUAAAGUCACCAUGAUUGAUGUAUUGUUCUUAUCUGUGCUUGUUAGCGGAAGAGGGAUCCGAUCCUCAGGAAUUUGUAGCUCCGAAAGAAGGGCAGGAACCCGACCCCUCCGAGAUAAAUCUUUUGUGCCAGGAAAGCUUUGACGAAGGCAAGUCCAUCCUUCCCUUGAUGCAUGAUUUACCUAUUCUCUCUACCACUACCUAAGCCGGGGCUAAGGGAUGGAAACUAUUUGCAUGGUGAGCAUGAGAGAGCCCGCAUUAACUAAUACCUUUUGAUCACAAGAUAUGGGAUGGGAAAUUGUUGUAACCAACGAUGUUUUCAAAUGUGUGCGAUGAAGGGUAUUCACCCUCAUCACCUGGUGAGUAGGAUGAUCAGGGACUCCCUGGUUUAGGGGAGGGCCUAAGGUGAUGGCUCAGCUGGUUUAGGCAUGAGCAGAAGGAUUGUCCUCUCAUAUAAGGACCAGUUUGUCAUCCUUCACUACCUGUACUCAUGAAAAGUACAACCACUCGAGGCUGUGUGGGUAGUCACUCGACCUGAACUCGUACGGUCCAACCCCAGGGUUAUGAAGGCUGGGGAGCACCAGGAGGAUAAGGAGGGGGAAUGUUUUGUCCGGUUUGGACAUGGCGGUGGCCUGACUCCUUCCGGUAUAACCGUUAAGGUUAGGAUGUGCGAGGAAGGAAAGAGAUUCGGAUUCGGAUCUCAUUGGCCAUGAGAUCGCAGAGCCGGACUAGUGGGUAAAAUGUACCCCUCUGCGCAGAGUUUAAACCUAUUCGAAUAGUCCGUGUCCACUGGUAUGAACGAGUCUGGUGUGGUAUGACAAUUAGUGUUUCUACAACAAGCGGGAACAGGGAAAUACGUGUGUGUGAGUGUGUCUCUGGAAAAGAAAAUGGUGCCACGGGAGCGGGAAGCUCAGUGGUGGUUAAGCAACGUGUUAUUUCUAUUUCUUUAGGAAAACCCUAAAAACAAGUACUGCCUUUCUCUAAGAAAAAGAAGAGUGACUUCAACUCCACCAUAUGAAGCAUGUAUGAUAUAGGUCCCUUUCUCUUUACGGGAGCCGGGUGGGCUUGCGGAAUACCUAGUGUAUUCACCCAUAUUUAUUUAUGUUUUUCAGCAGCUGAAGACUUCUUUUCUGCUAUGCUUGAUUGAGAGGGUUGUGUCUUCACCCAGUUCUGCCUAUGGCCUAGGCUAGUUUAUCUUCCACUGUGUUUCAUAAUUCUGGCUCACUCUCGAGCUUGUACCCUGGUAUUGUAAUAACAUUUACUCAAACUCUAUACUAUUUGAAGUAAGGAAUGUGGUUACUAGCCUCCUGGGACUAGUAAUUGUAUCACAUUUGAGUCCCAAAGAAUCGGAAUGCUUCAGUUGGUAUCAAAGCCCAUAGAACUGGUCGUAGACCGCAGCCCUGACCUUAAAAGUUGUCUUAACAAGAAAACACAUCUUACCCCUAAGAAAAACCUUCCCUCCUUUCUCCGAUAUUAACGGACCCUUCUUUUCUCCUACCAGAUGGAAGGCUCUUGGGUCAUUAGGACAUCCUGUUACUCAGAGGAGGAAGGAUUUCCUCACCUCCUACGAAGUUGCGCACUACGCAUGGGGAUCCGCAAGAAGCCCGAAUAUGUCUGGAAAGUAUACCGCGAAAAUGGAGUGGAGAAGUGCUCUAUGGCGGUCUACCUGGGAGAAAGCCGAAGCUACCCAAACCACCCUCUUUUCCAAGUCACCUUCAUCGGGCACCGCUUCCCAGACACUUGCCAAAGUGUUGCCUGAAAAGCCCUUAAACAGUUAUGCCAAAACUACAGCAGAGAGAUCUUUGAAACCCCCCUUCGUUACUUCCCACCUAGCAACAAAAAUACCCCCACCUGGAGGAAAAGACUUCAGGCCCUGUCAGGGAGAGACCCCACUGAGGAUGACCCCACCAUUGUCCACAUGGCCGGAUACCUCCACACUCUCGAUAACCACUACGAUGAUCUCUCCUCCCACUGCACCCACCUAAACUCCCGAGUGGAAAGCUUAGAGCAGUAGGUCAAGGAACUUAAGAAGGAGAAGGCAUCCCUCCAAGAGUGUCUCGAUAUAGCAGAAGGCGAGGAGGCCAACACCCGUGAAGCCUACCGAACCCUGAAGAUGGAUUAUGAUAAGAAGCUGAAGAAGCUCGCCCCCAUGAAGAAAAUCCAAAAGAAGACCAAGAACCAAGGAGGCCAAGCUGAGCAGAGGAAGAAGGCCCCUCCGGCACCAGCUCCCGCUAGGAUAGAGAAUUUGUCCGACAUCGAGGAUAUGUCCCUAGCUAACCUUGAUGACCUUCUCAAGGAAUUUGGGGACACUUUAGAAAAAGAGUUCGGUAGUACCUCAGAGAACGCUCGUGUGUAGUACGACUUGUAGUAGUUGUAUGUUUGUAAUGUAUUGGUGUAAUGAAUAAAAUAACUUGGUCGAAAACAAUUGGCAUGUGCAUAAUAGUGACUCUCUCCCCCUGGCAGAUGGCUUUGGAUAAAACCACGCCUACCGCCUCCGGGAUUGGAGCAGGGUUUCCCCUGAGAGCUGAAAGAGAGGCCGGUAGAGAGGAAAGUGAGACCCACCUCCCCGCACCUCCAGAACUACCUCUAGAUUUAGCCCAAGUUCUAGCCAACCAAACCCGACUCAUCGAGGUCCUCACUCGAAGUCUGGAAAAUCAACGCCCGAAUGGUGGGAGACCACAAGACAGGAUGGGAGAUUUCCUAAGGCUCAAGCCUCCCACGUUUGCCAGAUCUAGCAAUCCCCUCGAUGCUGAUGAUUGGAUGCGCACGAUUAAAAGAAAGCUGGAAGCCAUCAGAUGCCUGGAAAAUCAGCGUGUUCAACUGGCUGCUCAUCAACUUUCCGGAAUGGCCUUAGCCUGGUGGGAUACCUUCAAUGUCACCAUCAGGGAUGCUACCUGGGCGGAGUUUGAAACGGCUUUCCGAGAACACCAUGUGCCCCAAGGGAUCGUUCAGCUCAAGGAAGAUGAAUUCCGGGAACUGACUUAAGAUGGAAGAUCUGUCAGUGAGUACGUGCACAAAUUCACGGAGUUGGCCCGCUACGCGUCGGAUGACGUCAGCACCGAAGUCAAGAAGAUGGCCCGCUUCCUGAAGGGGCUUAGACCAGAACUCAAGACCAUCCUAGCCAGCCAAGACUUCCUCAGUUUCUCGCACCUCUCCAACAAAGACAUGCAAGUGGAAAGGGCAAAGGAAGAAUAAAAAGGCCAUCUCAAGAGGAAAUUCCAAGUCCUCCGAGCUCAGCAGCAAGACCGGCACCAGAAAACUCGAUCCUUUGGAUUUCCACCCAAGGGACCAAACUUCAGUAGACCAGUCGGACCCACUCCAUCAUGGUUCAGUCAGCAGAGUCAGAGCUCCUUUCAUGCCCCCUCAGUUGCAAGCAACCAACCACCGGCGAAUGCGUGUUAGCACUGCGGAGAUCCCAGUCACUUCAAGAACAACUGUCCCGAGUUGAAGCCAUCAGGACCUGCUUACUCCAACUCGGUGAAUGGCCCCAAGAAUACCUCAGCAUUCGCCCCCAAGGCAUCCUCCUCCAUCAGCCAGCAGAACAAGACCCAGUAUCAAGGAAGGGCACGAGUAAAUCACGUCGAUGCUCAGGAGGCUCAGCAAGCGCCGGGAGUAGUGCUCGGUGAGUUCCUUGUUGAAUUUGCUCCCGCUACUGUACUUUUCGAUUCAAGAGCAUCCCAUUCUUUUAUAGCCACUAGUUUUGUGGAAAAGCAUGGCAUCCCCUCUACCCCUCUAAAGUUUCCAUUGGUCACCCGAACCCCAGGGUCAGACCUUCUAUGUCAGCUCAAAUGCUCCCAAGUCAGAAUCCUUUUAAGUGGGGUAGUGUUCUUGGCAGACUUAACCGUCUUGCCAUCCCAAGGGAUUGAUGUGAUCUUAGGAAUGGAUUGGUUGACCAAGCACAAAGGUAUCAUCAGUUGCGCAAACAAGACAGUCCUUCUCACAGACCACCAAGGAAAGUCAGUCUCUUGUCAAGCUCAGCCACCCGCCAAUGAUCCAAUGAUGUUUAAUGUAGUAACAGAAAUCAUAUCAGUGGUAGAAGAAUUCAUGGAUUUAUUCCCGGAAGAGUUGCCAGGAAUGCCACCGGAAAGAGAAGUGGAAUUCUACAUAGAUUUGGCUCCUGGAACAGCGCCCAUCACAAAGAGACCAUACCGCAUGGCUCCUACCGAGUUAGCAGAAUUGAAGCUCCAAAUCGUAGAUCUUCAACAAAAAGGGUACAUUCGUCCCAGCUCAUCCCCUUGGGGAGCACCAGUCCUUUUCAUCUCUAAGAAGGAUGGAAGUAUGAGGAUGUGUAUUGAUUACCGAUCGUUAAAUGAAGUCACCAUCAAGAACAAGUAUCCACUCCCUCGGAUCGACGACCUCUUCGAUCAGCUUCAAGGGGCCAAAUACUUCUCCAAGAUAGACCUAAGGUCUGGUUAUCACCAGCUGAGAAUCAAAGAAGCAGAUAUUCAGAAGACUGUAUUUGUCACCCGGUACGAACAGUAUGAAUUCACAAUGAUGCCUUUCGGACUGACGAACGCACCCGCCUUUUUUAUGAACCUCAUGAACAAGGUGUUUAUGGAAGAGCUGGAUAAGUUUGUCGUAGUCUUCAUUGACGACAUUCUUAUCUACUCUAAGAACAGCGAAGACCAUAAGCAUCACCUCCGGACCGUCCUCGGAAAACUCAGGGCACACCAACUUUAUGCUAAACUCAGUAAAUGCGAAUUCUGGUUGGAAAAGAUAGCCUUCCUUGGGCAUAUCUUGACUGUAGAAGGAAUAGAAGUAGACCCUUCCAAGGUAGAAGCAGUAUCAAAAUGGAGGUAGCCAUCCAACAUCAGUGAAGUUCGAAGCUUUCUAGGAAUGGCAGGAUACUACCGCCGCUUUAUCAAGGGAUUCUCCAGCAUAGCAAGACCUAUGAUCGAACUCCUCAAGAAAGACCAUAAGUUUGUGUGGACCCCGAAAUGUGAAGGAAGUUUCCAGAUCAUAAAGGAGAAGCUCACAACCGCACCCGUUUUGACACUACCGGAUAUACAUCAGAAUUUCGUCGUCUUCUGUGAUGCCUCGAGGCAAGGCUUAGGGUGUGUGCUGAUGCAAAACAAGAAAGUCAUUGUUUAUGCAUCGCGCCUAAUCAAGCCGCAUGAGCAAAAUUAUCCCACCCAUGAUUUGGAAUUAGCAGCCAUAGUGCAUGCCCUGAAGAUAUGGAGGCAUUACCUAAUUGGGAACAAAUGUUACAUCUUCACCGAUCACAAGAGUCUGAGGUAUAUUUUCACUCAGCCAGAUCUCAACCUCCGUCAACGAAGAUGGCUGGAACUGAUCAAAGAUUAUAACCUUGAGGUUUAUUAUCACCCUGGAAAGGCCAACGUGGUAGCAGACGCCCUCAGUCGAAAACCUUUCGGGAUAAAGGGAACCAACUUUUUAGAAGGUUGGAAGAAGGAAUCAGCUCAACUGAAUGCAUGUUUGGGAAACAAUGGCAGUCUCGAAGUCAACCAAUGCUAGAAGACCUCAUAUGCAAAGCUCAACACCUAGACUCAGAGACAGCAAGACUUGUGGAAAAAGCUCGCAAAGAACAACUUCCGGACCUCAGGACAGAUGAACAAGGAACCCUUUGGUUCAAGAAUCGUCUGUGUGUACCAAAAGGGGAGGCACGAGAAGUCUUGCUCAAGGAAGCUCACAACUCAGCCUACUCCAUCCACCCAGGGACUACCAAGAUGUACCUAGACCUCAAAACCAGAUACUGGUGGAGAGGGAUGAAGAAAGAGAUAGCACAGUAUGUGGCCCAGUGUGACACCUGCCAACGAACGAAGGCCGAGCACUAGAAGCCUGCAAGCCUAUUGCAACCCCUCCCAGUGCCAGAAUGGAAGUGGGAAGAAAUAGGCAUGGAUUUUGUAAUCGGACUACCCCGGACGCAAAAAGGGAAUGACUCUAUCUGGGUGAUAAUAGACCGUCUUACCAAGGUGGCCCAUUUUAUCCUAGUAAAAACUACCUUUGGAGGAGCCACCCUUGCCCGAAUAUAUCUCAAAGAGAUAGUCAGACUCCAUGGCAUUCCAAGAAAGAUAGUGUUAGACAGAGGAACCCAGUUCACCUCCAAAUUCUGGACAAGCCUUUAGAAAGCUAUGGGCACCAAGCUAGACUUCAGCACCGCCUAUCACCCUCAGAUAGAUGGGCAGACAGAAAGCGUCAAUAAGGUCCUCGAAGAUCUAUUAAGAGCCUGUGUGUUAACAUUCGAUAGAAGUUGGGAAUCCAGUUUGCCUUAUGCGGAGUUCUCGUAUAAUAACAGCCAUCAGGCCAGCAUCAAGAUGUCACCGUUCGAAGCAUUGUAUGGACGAAAAUGCCAGACCCCUCUCAUGUGGUCCAACGUAGGGGAAAAGGCACUAGAAGGACCUGCCUUUGUCAAAGAGGCUGAGGAGAAAGUUGCCCUGAUCCGCAGAAGAUUACUUGAAGCUCAGAGUCGGCAGAAGAGUUAUGCGGACAACAGACGGAGAGAACUCAGAUUUGAGGAAGGAGACUUCGUCUACCUCAAGGUCUCCCCGAUGCAUGGUGUCAGAAGGUUCCAAGUGAAAGGAAAGCUAGCACCGCGAUUCAUCGGUCCCUAUCCCAUCAUCGGCAGAGUAGGACCCGCAGUAUACCGUCUUGAACUACCAGAAUCCAUGUCUGAUAUCCACAAUGUGUUUCACGUAUCCCAGCUCCGCAAAUGCCUGCAAACACCAGAAAGUCACAUCGAAGAAGAGGCAAUACAGAUUCAGAAAGAUCUUCAGUACCGUGAGAAGCCAAUAAAGAUCCUUGAUUCAGCAAUCCAGAAGACCCGCGACUCAGAAGUGAGACUCUGUAAGGUUUAGUGGAGCAGAGAAGGAGAAGAGGAAGCUACAUGGGAGAGUGAGGACUCCUUGAGGAGGGAAUACCCUUAUCUUUUCUCAAAUCCAGUCUAAAUCUCGAGGGCGAGAUUCCUUUAAGUGGGGUAGGUUUGUAACAUCCCAAAAUCUCAACCCAAGGUUUGGAACCCUAAUCUCCUAAACCCCCCCCCCUUUCUAUUUUCUCCCUAAACUCCACCCUUAGGUCAUCUCAUCAUAUGCAUACACUUGGAUUGUUAGGAGCACCUCACAUAGAUUAUUUUCAACACUUAAGAUUAUUUAGCAAAAUGUUGAUUCAAAAGAAAAGGAAAUAAAAAUAAACAAAAACAGAAAAUGGAAAAGUGAAAUAGAAAACAGAAAAAGAAAAAGGAAAACCCCUUCCCCCCUCGGCUGGGCCGUUUCUGGCCCAAGUCGCGCUCGCGCCCGCGUUUUCCCCGUCUCCUCCGCGGCCCAAGCGGCCCAGCUGCGCGCGCCCGCGUCGCGCCUGACAGCUCGUGUAACACCCCAGGAUCCACAAACACCCCGAAAUGCUACUAAACUACACAACUAACAUUCAUAUAUAAAAUUUUGAUAGCAUCUCCUUUGAAAAUUUGCAUAAACGUGGAAGCAAUAGAGUAUAAACAGAUAUCAUGAUAAGAAAACAUACUAGACAUUAAUAAUCUGCUAGCAAUGGGAAGAUAACCAUAACGACAUAAACUGAAUUAACUAGUGUGCACGACUAGUUAAAAACAACAUCCUUGACAAGAAGUUUCUAAUUAAAUCAUGGCUAUGCCUAGGCAGCGUUAUUAUGAGAGUGAAGGUGGACGUGCUGCUACUUCCCUCAUUCCCAACAUGAAUCAAGUACCUGCAUCGAGUAAUGCAAGAGUGAGAUGAAAACAUCUCAGCAAGUAAAUUGUUUUGACGAGAUAUUUAAACCAAAAAAAUAUUGAAUUAAUCAACAUUUUAAAGGGAUCACAAUUGAGAUCAGAAAUACUUGUAGAUAUAGAACUCAAUGGUCCCAAAAUAACCAAUGCCUUCUCAUUUCCUCGAACAACCACAAUAGGUUGUAUAACACUUUCCUCUUAGAGUAUAAAACCACACCAUCUGCAAAUAUCACUUCAAUGAAUGCAUAUGAAUGCAAUGCAUAUGUCCUCUGCCUUCAUACCUCUAAGGGUAUGAAGCCGCAUCGUACCCCUCCUCGGGCAACGUACGAUGCUAAGUUGUACCGGUACGGUCGGACCAUAGGUCACGACAAAACUUCAGAUGCAAGUGAAUCAUGCAAUGUAUAUGGAAUGCUGCAUUUAUCAAUAUACUUCACUUCCUUCAUAUACAAUACAAACCUCAAACAAUACUUCAUUUACCUUCAGAUACAAUACAAACCUCAAAUAAUACUUCGUUUACCUUCAGAUACAAUACAAACCUCAAAUAAUACUUCAUUCACCUUCAGGGGUGUGAAUUAAUCUCGUGGGUCAUACUUGAAUCAUCAUCAUCAUCAAUAUAUGAUUAAGCAUCAAUAUAAUACAAUCAAGUAAAGCAUCACUAUAGAGUUCAAUUAUGAAAGAAUUCGAUGAUUCUGAAUAUUAGAGUGUAGGCGAUGAAACAACAAGUCAAAACAGUAGCAACCACCGCUACAUCCACUUGCCUUCAUCGAAGAAGAAAAUGUACUAAGCAUGAUCCGGAGCAUAACCACCAAUUCUUGAAGAGGAACGAUGACGACGAUAGACGACUGUGUGCCCUAAUCUUCCCUCUCUUCUCUCCCUUGUUCUUCCUCUCAUCUCUUGGGGCAAGGCACAAAAGGGAAUGGCUGCUAGGGUGGGAGGACGUGGCUGCUAGGGUUAGGGAGGUAUAAAUAGAAGAAAACUCCCCCAAUCCUAAUAUCCAAUGGAUCAGAUCGACCGGCACUUUGAAAAAACUCAUUCAGACUCCAAACAAGGCAAACUAGUAGUCGAUCGAAAUCGUCUCGACGAUAUCUAUGCAUCUACGGUCUCUGAUCAUCAGUAGGACACACCAUAUUAGGAUUUUAAACAUGGUUUGGUUUUUAGGGUAUUAUAUUCUACCCCCCUUAAAAGAAUUCGUCCUCGAAUUCAGCCACUUCUACAAAUCAAGACAUUCACCAACGGUAAAACUCGGUCAAACACCCUAAAUAGACUCAUAUAGUAGACUAGUAGCCUUGAUGAGAUCAUGAAAAGAGUUUUUCAAGAAAUAACCUCUAAGUCGAACUAAUUUACCAAAGAAAAUGACACACCUUGACAACAAUCAUAAAACAAUAUAAAACGAAUUCCCAAGGCAUUGUCAUAGGUGCAAUCAACACUAGGAUUUGCCAUCAUUGAAUUUGGAUGCAGCUAUACAUCAAGAUCAAUGUCUUAAAACAACACUCUUUUUAUGAAGAGGUAAUAUGCACUAAGAACAACCCUUACCAACUUCAACAAUUCAUUUUAAUUCAAUUGUCAAACAUCCACACCAGAUGAAUGUAUAAGAAGAUCAAACACCUCACAUCAAAGCACCACGAAACAAGUAGUUCCAUUGAAACAAAACUCCUAAUCUUCCUAAACCUUGUUCUUGACGUCAUGAAAAAGAUAAUCAUGUAAUCUAACGUUCUUUACACCCCACAAAAGGGAGAAAGUCUAUAGAACUAAUGGAGCAAUAAAGCCAACAUGAAGCCAAUAACAUUCUGUGCGGCACAGUUCAUCGAACAAAUGCCAAAAACUCCAUAAAGAACACUGACAACACAGCAACAACACAAUACUUUGCUUAACUAAUGUCACUAUACUUCAUCCAACAACUCAACUAAAAAAAUAUCCAAACUAGUAAGGUUAACCUACACAUAAUAUAAGUCUUCAUCUACUGUAGUUCAGAAACUUACAUUUCAUUCCAUCAUACGAUGCACUCAAAGUACCAGACAUACAGGGUCAAUAAUAACCCUGUAAUCCUUCACACACAUGACAAACAUCUCAAUCUGAUGUAAGAACCACAUCAUUUAGAAAUAGGUGACUAACCACACCCAACCAACUCUAGGCUAGGCAAUGACUUCAUUCAAACCAAUAGAUAAGUGGUCCAACAAUGGCUCCACAAGCAUGCAUCAGGGAGAUAACCAUCAGAUCAUCAACGUAUUAAUAUAUAAUCAAUGGAUCAAGAAAAUAAAAGAUUUAUUCUACAAUUAGCAUGACUAACAUGCAACCACUUUAAACCACAUCUAGGCUUUGUGGCUACUAAAACACAAGAUAGAAGGGAGACAUGUAAUCCACUCUGGCUAGCUAUGUAAAGACUUUCCCCCCAAAAUCCAUAUAGAAGUACCAAUAUUCAUUUCUUUCAGAAUUGUUUUCUCGACAUAAACAAUCAUUCCUUGCAAAGAUAGUUGGAGCUAUCCACCAACCGCCCAACAACUUAAAUCCAAAUCGAUGGUUACCUUGUAACCCAAAACAUGCAAUUCACACUCCUCUUGGAAACAUCCUCAAUCAAACAUAUAUAACAAUAUUAUUGUAAUAAAACUCAACCAUGAAAAACAUGUUGAAAACAACAUAGGCAUACAUGUAUAUCACAAGCAUAAUAACGACUUCAAUCUCACAAAAGAACAGCGAUAUCAAUCGUAUUAAUAAACAAUAUCAAAAUUUAGAAAUGAAUUAUAUCAGGCAUUAAGUCAUAAACAACUUACCACAUCACCGUAAAGGAUUAGGGAGGGUGAAAUUAUUUCAUCUGCACUUCAAAGACAUUAACAUAUAUCAAAGAUAUUUGAACCCACACCCUUCCUAUAUGUGCAAGUGUGUCAAAUUUAUCUUCAAAUUGCCAAGAAUCUAAAGCAUAUGCUUUGAUACCAACUGUAACACCCCAGGAUCCACAAACACCCCAAAAUGCUACUAAACUACACAACUAACAUUCAUAUAUAAAAUUUUGACAGCAUCUCCUUUGAAAAUUUGCAUAAACGUGGAAGCAAUAGAGUAUAAACAGAUAUCAUGAUAAGAAAACAUACUAGACAUUAAUAAUCUGCUAGCAAUGGGAAGAUAACCAUAACGACAUAAACUGAAUUAACUAGUGUGCACGACUAGUUAAAAAACAACAUCCUUGACAAGAAGUUUCUAAUUAAAUCAUGGCUAUGCCUGGGCAGCGUUAUUAUGAGAGUGAAGGUGGACGUGCUGCUACUUCCCUCAUUCCCAACAUGAAUCAAGUACCUGCAUCGAGUAAUGCAAGAGUGAGAUGAAAACAUCUCAGCAAGUAAAUUGUUUUGACGAGAUAUUUAAACCAAAAAAUAUUGAAUUAAUCAACAUUUUAAAGGGAUCACAAUUGAGAUCAGAAAUACUUGUAGAUAUAGAACUCAAUGGUCCCAAAAUAACCAAUGCCUUCUCAUUUCCUCGAACAACCACAAUAGGUUGUAUAACACUUUCCUCUUAGAGUAUAAAACCACACCAUCUGCAAAUAUCACUUCAAUGAAUGCAUAUGAAUGCAAUGCAUAUGUCCUCUGCCUUCAUACCUCUAAGGGUAUGAAGCCGCAUCGUACCCCUCCUCGGGCAACGUACGAUGCUAAGUUGUACCGGUACGGUCGGACCAUAGGUCACGACAAAACUUCAGAUGCAAGUGAAUCAUGCAAUGUAUAUGGAAUGCUGCAUUUAUCAAUAUACUUCACUUCCUUCAUAUACAAUACAAACCUCAAACUAUACUUCAUUUACCUUCAGAUACAAUACAAACCUCAAAUAAUACUUCGUUUACCUUCAGAUACAAUACAAACCUCAAAUAAUACUUCAUUCACCUUCAGGGGUGUGAAUUAAUCUCGUGGGUCAUACUCGAAUCAUCAUCAUCAUCAAUAUAUGAUUAAGCAUCAAUAUAAUACAAUCAAGUAAAGCAUCACCAUAGAGUUCAAUUAUGAAAGAAUUCGAUGAUUCUGAAUAUUAGAGUGUAGGCGAUGAAACAACAAGUCAAAACAGUAGCAACCACCGCUACAUCCACUUGCCUUCAUCGAAGAAGAAAAUGUACUAAGCAUGAUCCGGAGCAUAACCACCAAUUCUUGAAGAGGAACGAUGACGACGAUAGACGAAUGCGUGCCCUAAUCUUCCCUCUCUUCUCUCCCUUGUUCUUCCUCUCUUCUCUUGGGGCAAGGCACAAAAGGGGAUGGCUGCUAGGGUGGGAGGACGUGGCUGCUAGGGUUAGGGAGGUAUAAAUAGAAGAAAACUCCCCCAAUCCUAAUAUCCAAUGGCUCAGAUCGACCGGCACUUGAAAAAACUCAUUCAGACUCCAAACAAGGCAAACUAGUAGUCGAUCGAAAUCGUCUCGACGAUAUCUAUGCAUCUACGGUCUCCGAUCAUCAGUAGGACACACCAUAUUAGGAUUUUAAACAUGGUUUGGUUUUUAGGGUAUUAUAGCUCGGCCCCACCGGUCAGCGGCUCCUCCCCUCUCCCUCUCGCGUCGCUCUCCCACUGGCAGCCCGGGCCCGCCUGUCAGGACCACCGUCCCGCCCAUGCCUUCACCGGCGCGUUCGCCGCCGACCACCACCGACCUGUCUCCUCGCCAUUAACGCGCGCACCGGCCUCAGCUACCUCCUCGCCACUGUACCCGAGCCGUCCCCUCACCCCUCGCCUGCCCGAGCCAUCCCGUCGUCGUUUGCUCCAUCACCGCCAUCAUGGCGGGCUCGUCGGCGCUCGCCGUUGUCACACCCGGUUUUAAGGAACAAAGUCGUGUGCAUCUCAUACAUGCGCCAAAUAAGACAACAUAUAUAAUAACAGAGUGUAUAGAGAUAAAUGUCACAAUAUAAUCAGAGUACUUAUUACAUAGCGAAAGUCUUACAAAAUAAGAGAUAAAUAUCGCAGGAUCUAAAUCUAUCCUUGGCGCCAAAAAGCUGACUGGGAGACGCCACCUAGAUCAAGUCGAAAGCCUCAGAGUUAGGCAGCUCCUCUUCGACCACUUGUUCUUCUCAUGUGGGGGGUGUGAGACAGCAAGAGUGAGCUCACAUACGUUCAUAGCUCAACAAGUCGUGGGGAAUAAUGUGCAUGAACUCACCAAAGGUGGGAGUUCAUGUGAAGUGUAAGGCUGAUCAACAAAAUAGGGUUGAGGCUGAGCAUUGCUUUUAUAAGUUGGUCAAAAUUUUAUUAGCAGUUACUAAGUGUAAGUAAAUACCAAACCUUAGUAAUAAAUAAAAGUAAUAAAAUAAUCCCCAAAUGCGAUGCAAAUGUCAAUUUGAGUUUUAGUUCCAUAGAUUAAUCAUGUGAGGGUCCGAGCUGCUCAUGACCGUGAGCACAACUAGUAUACCAGUUUUACACUCUGUAGAGAUUGCGCAUCUUUACCCACAAGUCAUGUUACCCAUCUGCCAAGAGAUGGCCAAUCCCAUACACCUCUACAGAGGAGGCGAGGCAGGGUAACACUAUGAGGCCUUUACAAAGUUCCACUAGCUUCAGAAAUCCCGCUACAGUUUAUAGGAAGCUCCAGUGCAGGAAUCCCUCGCCUGACCGCCAUCGCAGCAAAAUCAACCCAAGGACCUCCCUACACUGACCACUCCCCUACUGCCCUUGCCCCUUUCGGGUAAGGAAGUCAUCCACUAGCUUUCCUAGUUAAUCGGCCAAGGGCGUCCCAUUAUACCCUUGUGGUAGCACUGUUUUCCCGGGUGGUCGCUCCAUGUUCCCAUUAACAUAAUGAUCUUAUCAUGAACAGUAAUAAUAAAAAGAUAAUAAAAGUGUAAUUAUGAAUAGUGUAUCUCCAUACCCAAAUCCACAUAAAGCAAUAGCAGGUACUACCCAAAAAUAUUUCAGUGGUGAACAAGGUAUAAAGAUAACCAAAACUGGGAUGACCUAAUGGAUCCCAUCAAAUUUAACCUAUGCAGAUCAUUAUAAUUAAUAAGAACAUGGCUGGGGAAAAGUAAGUGAUCAAGGGCACAACUUGCCUUCAAUGAGCUCCUGCUCAGCUACUUCUACUUGUUGAACCUCAGAAUCCACAGUGGCUUGCUCGUCUACUCGCAUCAACACAAUACAUACAUAGUAUAGCAAAAAUUAACAUUGCACCAAACAUGUGAAUAAAAUACACAGUAAUAAUCUAGACAUUAAACUAAGAUUAUAGGAACUGGAAUCAUUAAAUUUGGAGUUAUCUAUUUUAAGUUAUGAAUUUCCAAAGGUUUUAUGUGCUUAAGAUAAGAUUAAGUGAGAGAUUAAUUUUCUUAUUGUUUUCAUGUCCAAACAGAGACUCUAGGUGAUGGAGAAUAAAAUUACAAAAUUUUAGGAACUGGAAUGGAGUAAUUUGGAGUUCAGAUGAAUUUUCUAUGAAUUAACUAAGUUCUAGGAAUUGUUUUUGUAUUAAAAAUAUAUUUACUAAUUCAGUUAUACAUUUUAAACGGGCUCUGGACUGGGUGGCAUUUUCCAGAGAGUGCAGGGGGCACGGCGUAAAAUUCCUAAGGCCUAGUGCACACUACCCCAGGACGGAGGGUUGAUUUGUGUAUUAGUUAGGGUAUUUUUAACAAAAUGUAUCCCCGAAGGGGUACGGGUCAAUACCGACCGUUAGAUUAGAUGCGAACGAUCCAGAUUAGAGUAGCGCGCUGCGAAUCGGUACGUAACCAGGGGCCCUGGAUCCCGAUCCGACGGAUCACGCUACUCCGACCCUACAUCUAAUCACGGCCGCCCAUUCGAGGAUCAACGAUUGUGCCGCGUCUCCUACCUCUCCGCACCGCGACGGCCGAGAGAAGUUUCCCCCAGCGGAACAUUCACCGGCGAGUCACCCAAUCCGACCGAUCUAGUGAAGCUAACCUACGGUUAUGUGCAAAAAAAUGAAAUUGCAGCUAGCGCGAGUGUGAUAGGGGAUGUCUCACUAGGGAUUUGGUCACAAAGGUGCCCAGUCCACGGUGCGGAGCAGAGUUGCAGCGGCAGCGAGGUACGACGAGGAAUUCCAGGGGCUCGGGUCGAUCCCCACGUUUGGCACUCCACACACACGAUCCACACACGCUGUAGAGCGCCCAAGACCCAACCCCGACCACCAAACGUCGGUGCAGGAACAGGGCAACAAUGGCGAGCGGUGGCCUUCUCUCUCGGGUUUGUUUGCUCGGUCACGAGAAGGGGUAGCUAGCUUCGCGGGGCUUUAUGGUUGCAUGGUUGGGCGUCCGCAUUUAUACACGCGGCCUAGGCGGGGUGGAGGUUACGCCACCAGCGAAGUCGGCGCGGUCGUUGGCGUCAGCUGGAUCCGCAGAGGAGUUGUUACGGCUGCGAUUCCGAUUCGAACGGAGGUGGAAGACGCGCUGAUGUGUGGGACCCGCUGCUCAGUGAAGUGGAGGGUUCAAGUCGUGGGCACGGUCGACAAGUGGGCCCAGCACGUCAGGCAGGUGCGGCAUUCCAGUGGGGCCCGCGUGUCGGCACAGGUAUCCCCCCGGCAGCGCGCGUAGGGCUAAAUGGGCCGCACAGAGAAAGUGAUGAAGUGGGCCGAAUUCGUGGGAGCCAGCCCAAACAAGGUUUCUUCUUCUUUUUCUUUUAUUUUCUUUUCUCUCUCUUUUCAAAUUCAAGUUGUAUUCAAAUUUAAUUCAAACUAUUGUGACCAAUUAUUCUCAGAUGAUGUUGCGCCAUAAACAGUACUACUUUGAAGACAUAUUAUUAUAUAUAUUAUUUUUAUAUCUUUUCUCCUUUUGGUUUCAAUUCUAGAAUUUCCUUUCUUCUUUUUUUUCAAACUCUAGCAUUUCUUUUAGGAUUUAAUUUCCCAUUGGGGUAUUAACAUACUUAUUAUUAUAUAUUUUCUAUAAUUUUAUAUCAUCACAAAGUGCACACAAAGUAAGAUCCAGCAUGAUGCACAGGUUAAUUAUGUGUUCUUUGUUCUAUUUAUCCACUUUUAACUAGUGUUGAUCACAUGUAAUGAAUAGUAGAGGCCACAAACUAUUGAGAUUAUCUCUAUUCUCUUUAUUACACUUUUGAGUAUUACAAAUCCUACCCCCCUUAAAAAUAAUCUCGUCCUCGAGAUUUAAGAAGAUCUAGGGAAAAGGUGGGGAAAAUCUAUGCGAAGCUCUUCUUCUCUUUCCCAAGUAGCUUCAUCUUCUCCGUGGUGACUCCAUUGCACUUUGCAUAACCUUAUUCCUCGUGACACGAGUUAUUGUAUCAAGAAUCUUGAUCGGGUACUCAGCAUAAGUCAGGUCAUCUUAAACACUAAGGUCCUCCAUUGGUAGUUGCUCUUUAGGUACCCUGAGACACUUCUUGAGUUGUGACACAUGAAAGACAUCAUGUACAUCCGAUAGAUUAUCAGGUAGCUCGAGUUGAUAGGCCAUCUCUCCAACUCGCCUAAAAACUCUGAAUGGUCCAAUAAAGCGAGGGAACAAUUUGCCCUUGACUUUAAAUCUCCUCAUUCCAUGAAGUGGUGACACCUUGAGGUACACGUGGUCACAUUCCUCAAACUACCGUGGUCUUCUUCUAUUAUCAGUGUAGCUCUUUUGCCUGGUCUGAGCUACCCUCAAGUUCUCCAUGAUUAUACAGACUUGUUCUUUUGCCUCUUGAACAAGUUUAGGUCCAAAGAACUGUCUUCCUCCAGUCUAGUCCUAAUACAGAGGAGUCCUGCACUUCCUGCCAUAUAGAGCCUCGAACGGUGACAUCUUCAAACUGGUCUGGUAACUAUUAUUAUAUGAGAACUCAGCAUAAGGUAGACUCUUGUCCCAACUACUACCAUGCUGAAGGGCAUAAGCCUCAACAUGUCCUCCAAUACUUGAUUAGUCCUUUCAGUUUGUCCAUUAGUCUGACGAUGGUAGGCUGAACUAAAAUUCAACUUUGUAUCCACAUUCUCAUGAAAACUUUUCCAAAAUUUGGAGGUAAACUGUGAUCCUCUAUCCAAAACUAUCUUCUUUGGUACUCCAUGUAAACACACAAUCCGAGCCAUAUAUAACUCUGCCAGUUGAGAGCCUUUAUAAGCAGUCUUGACAGGAAUGAAAUGAGCAACUUUGGUCAGUCCAUCCACAAUAACCCAUAUAGAAUCGUAUGCUUUCGAGGUGCGAGGCAAUCCAGUAAUGAAGUCCAUAUCAAUCUAUUCCCACUUCUAUUCGGGUAUCUUUAAUGGGUAUAAUAGUCCAGCUUGUCCUUGGUGUUCGGCCUUAACUCUUUGACACACCUCGCACAUAGCCACAUGUGUAGCCACAUCUCUCUUCAAUCCAUACCACCAGUAAUUCUACUUCAAAUCCUGAUACAUCUUAGUGCUACUAGGAUGAAUAGAAUAAUCCGAGUCAUGGGCCUCCUUCAAAAUAGUCUCACGAAGGCUUUCAAUAUCAGGAAGACAUAUCCUGUCCUUGAACCAUACGGUGCCUUCCUCAUCUUCCAUGAAUUCUGGACCUCGACCUUCAGUAAUCAGAUCCUUAAUCUCUUGUAUUUUAGCAUCACCAAUUGGUCCUUUGUGGAUUUCUUGCUCCAAAGUAGGUUCCACAUCAAUGGUAACUCCUUCAGUGUGAGCAACUAUCCUCAGGUUAAGUCUCUUGAAGUCCUCAACAAUCUCAUCGGGUAGCUGGGCAACAACAGCUGAAUGAACGUGCUCCUUUCGACUCAAGGUAUCUGCAACCAAAUUUGCCUUACCUGGGUGAUAGUGAAUCUCCAAAUCAUAAUCCUUAAUAAGCUCCAACCAAUGGCGUUGCCUAAGGUUGUGAUCCUUCUGAGUGAAUAUGUACUUCAAACUCUUAUGAUCCAUGUAUACUCGACACUUAGUUCCCAUAAUGUAGUGUCUCCAAAUCUUAAGUGCAUGCACAACGACUGCCAGUUCUAAGUCAUGAGUGGGGUAGUUCAAUUCAUGUUUCCGCAACUGACGAGACGCAUAGGGGAUCACAUGUCCUUCUUGCAUGAGCACACAUCUCAAUCCUUGGCCACAUGCAGCACAAUAAAUGUCAAAUCCCUUCUGUAGAUCUGGCAUAAUCAACACUGGUGGUGACAUCAAUCUCUUUUUUAAUUGCUCAAAGCUUUCUUGGCACUUCUCAUCCCACUUGAAUUCUCUUCCUUUCUCCAGCAGUGAGGUCAUAGGCUUAGCAAUCUUAGAAAAUCCUUCAAUAAAUCUCCGAUAAUAGCCUGCAAGCCCCAAGAAACUCCGGAUUUCAGUAACUGUAGUGGGCACUCUCCACUCCAUUAUCUCCUUCACUUUAGCAGGAUCUACUGCUAUUCCUCCAUUAGAAAUAAUAUGACCAAGGAAUGGCACCUUGUCAAUCCAAAACUCGCAUUUGCUAAACUUGGCGUAGAGUUGGUUAUCUCGUAGCUUCUAUAGCACCAAUCUCAGAUGUUCCUCAUGAUCACUAUCACUCUUGGGAUAAAUAAAAAUAUCGUCGAUGAAAACCACGACGAAUCUGCCCAGAUCAUGAACACCUUAUUCAUCAAAUUCAUAAAAUAAGUUGGUGCAUUAGUUAAUCCAAAUGACAUAACAGUGAACUCAUAUAAUCCAUAUCGGGUUGAGAAAGUUGUCUUGGAAAUAUCCGAUGGCCUAAUCUUCAUUUGGUGAUAACCCAAUCGGAGAUCAAUCUUCGAGAAUACCCUUGCACCUCUCAUAUGAUCAAAUAAAUCUUCAAUAUGGGGUAAUAGAUACUUGUUCUUCACAGUAACAUCAUUAAGUGAUCUAUAAUCCACACACAUCCGCUGUGAUCCAUCCUUCUUCUGUACAAACAGUAUCGGUGCUCCCCAUGGUGAGGAACUCGGACGAAUGUACCCCGCCUCUUGUAACUCCGUUAGCUGCUUGUUAAGUUCCUUUAAUUCUUCUACAGACAUCCUAUAUGGUCGCUUAGAAAUAGGAGCAGUCCCAGGUAAGAGAUCUAUGACAAACUCAACUUCCGUAUCUGGUGGCAUCCCUGGUAACUCCUUUGGAAAGACAUCCGGAAAAUCUCUAACCACACGGAUGUUGUCACCAACAAACUCCUCAGAUAUAAAGUAUAUAGCCCGUUUGGAAGAGGUGGUUACUGCAAUUUGAACUUGAAACAUUUCUCCUUUAGGGCUAGUGAGUUCUAUGGUUCCUUUAGCACAGUGUAUAAACUGCCUUUACCUUUCUUAACCAUGACAUACCAAGGAUCACAUCUAUAGUGCUCUCUUCUAACACUAUAGGGGUAGCCCAUCUGGGUUAGAAACACAGGGGACAGAAGAAAGGAUUGUAGACAAGACAUGUAAUUACGAAGCAUGUUACUUUGGGGAAUUUAUUAGCUAAGUGUGUCACCUACUAAAGCUAAUACAUUACCUUAUGGUGGUACAUGCUAAGAUGCCCGUCUAUACUAUUUCAAUCAAUCAAAGAAGCAAAUCAGGCAUUGAUCAUUAGAACAAUCAACCAACAUUUUUUAAAAUAUAGAAAAUAAUUAUAAUUUUGUCUUAGGCCUCCUAUCUCUUAAAAAGGUCAUAAAUGUAGGAUUCCAAAGUGUGUAAUCCAUCUUGUCUCAGAGUAGAGAAGGUAAGAAUAAUCAGAGUAGAACAGUAGAAGGUGAGACAGGAUCAAGAUAAGUAUAGAAAGAAUCAGAGUAAGGUAAGUAUAGAAUGAAUCAGAAGAAGGUAAGUAUGGAAGGGUUUUGUCCAUUUCUAUCUAGGUUUCGUCCUACAGUCAACAUUUCCUCUGAUACCACUUCUGUCACACUCGGUUUUAAGGAACAAAGUCGGGUGCAUCUCAAACAUGCGCCAAAGAAGACAACAUAUAUAAUAACAGAGUGUAUAGAGAUAAAUGUCACAAUAUAAUCAGAGUACUUAUUACAUAGCGGAAGUCUUACAAAAUAAGAGAUAAAUAUCGCAAGAUCUAAAAUCUAUCCUUGGCGCCAAAAAGCUGACUGGGAGACGCCACCUAGAUCAAGUCGAAAGCCUCAGAGUUAGGCGGCUCCUCUUCGACCACCUGUUCUUCUCCUGUGGGGGGGUGUGAGACAGCAAGAGUGAGCUCACAUACGUUCAUAGCUCAACAAGUCGUGGGGAAUAAUGUGCAUGAACUCACCAAAGGUGGGAGUUCAUGUGAAGUGUAAGGCUGAUCAACAAAAUAGGGCUGAGGCUGAGCAUUGCUUUUAUAAGUUGGUCAAAAUUUUAUUAGCAGUUACUAAGUGUAAGUAAAUACCAAACCUUAGUAAUAAAUAAAAGUAAUAAAAUAAUCCCCAAAUGUGAUGCAAAUGUCAAAUUGAGUUUUAAUUCCAUAGAUUAAUCAUGUGAGGGUCCGAGCUGCUCAUGACCGUGAGCACGGCUAGUAUUCCAGUUUUACACUCUGCAGAGGUUGCGCAUCUUUACCCACAAGUCAUGUUACCCAUCUGCCAAGAGAUGGCCAAUCCCAUACACCUCUACCGAGGAGGCGAGGCAGGGUAACACUACGAGGCCUUUACAAAGUUCCACUAGCUUCAGAAAUCCCGCUACAGUUUAUAGGAAGCUCCAGUGCAGGAAUCCCUCGCCUGACCGCCAUCACAGCAAAAUCAACCCAAGGACCUCCCUACACUGACCACUCCCCUACUGCCCUUGCCCCUUUCGGGUAAGGAAGUCAUCCACUAGCUUUCCUAGUUAAUCGGCCAAGGGUGUCCCAUUAUACCCUUGUGGUAGCACUGUUUUCCCGGGUGGUCGCUCCAUGUUCCCAUUAAUAUAAUGGUCUUAUCAUGAACAGUAAUAAUAAAAAGAUAAUAAAAGUGUAAUUAUGAAUAGUGUAUCUCCAUACCCAAAUCCACAUAAAGCAAUAGCAGGUACUACCCAAAAAUAUUUCUGUGGUGAACAAGGUAUAAAGAUAACCAAAACUGGGGUGACCUAUUGGAUCCCAUCAAAUUUAACCUAUGCAGAUCAUUAUAAUUAAUAAGAACAUGGCUGGGAAAAAGUAAGUGAUCAAGGGCACAACUUGCCUUCAAUAAGCUCCUGCUAAGCUACUUCUACUUGUUGAACCUCAGAAUCCACAGUGGCUUGCUCGUCUACUCGCAUCAACACAAUACAUACAUAGUAUAGCAAAAAUUAACAUUGCACCAAACAUGUGAAUAAAAUACACAGUAAUAAUCUAGACAUUAAACUAAGAUUAUAGGAACUGGAAUCAUUAAAUUUGGAGUUAUGGAUUUUAAGUUAUGAAUUUCCAAAGGUUUUAUGUGCUUAAGAUAAGAUUAAGUGAGAGAUUAAUUUUCUUACUGUUUUCAUGUCCAAAUAGAGACUCUAGGUGAUGGAGAAUAAAAUUACAAAAUAUUAGGAACUAGAAUGGAGUAAUUUGGAGUUCAUAUGAAUUUUCUAUGAAUUAACUAAGUUCUAGGAAUUGUUUUUGUAUUAAAAAUAUAUUUACUAAUUCAGUUAUACAUUUUAAACGGGCUCUGGACUGGGCGGCAUUUUCCAGAGAGUGCAGGGGGCACGGCGUAAAAUUCCUAAGGCCUAGUGCACACUACCCCAGGACGGAGGGUUGAUUUGUGUAUUAGUUAGGGUAUUUUUAACAAAAUGUAUCCCCGAAGGGGUAUGGGUCAAUACCGACCGUUAGAUUAGAUGCGAACGAUCCAGAUUAGAGCAGCGCGCUGCGAAUCGGUACGUAACCAGGGGCCCUGGAUCCCGAUCCGACGGAUCACGCUACUCCGACCCUACAUCUAAUCACGGCCGCCCAUUCGAGGAUCAACGAUUCUGCCGCGUCUCCUACCUCUCCGCACCGCGACGGCCGAGAGAAGUUUCCCCCGGCGGAACACUCACCGGCGAGUCGCCCAAUCCGACCGAUCCGGUGAAGCUAACCUACGGUGAUGUGCAAAAAAAUGAAAUUGCAGCUAGCGCGAGUGCGAUAGGGGAUGUCUCACCAGGGAUUUGGCCGCGAAGGUGCCCAGUCCAUGGCGCGGAGCGGAGUUGCAGCGGCGGCGAGGUACGACGAGGAAUUCCAGGGGCUCGGGUUGAUCCCCACGUUUGGCACUCCACACACACAAUCCACACACGCUGUAGAGCGCCCAAGACCCAACCCCGACCACCAAACGUCGAUGCAGGAACGGGGCAACAAUGGCGGGCGGUGGCCUUCUCUCUCGAGUUUGUUUGCUCGUUCACGAGAAGGGGUGGCUGGCUUCGCGGGGCUUUAUGGUUGCGCGGUCGGGCGUCCGCGUUUAUACGUGCGGCCCAGGCGAGGUGGAGGUUACGCCACCAGCGAAGUCGGCGUGGUCGUUGGCGUCAGCUGGAUCCGCGGAGGAGUUGUUACGGCUGCGAUUCCGAUUCGAACGGAGGUGGAAGACGCACUGAUGUGUGGGACCCGCUGCUCAGUGAAGUGGAGGGUUCAAGUCGUGGGCACGGCCGCCAAGUGGGCCCAGCACGUCAGGUAGGUGCGGCGUUCCAGUGGGGCCCGCGUGUCGGCACAGGUAUCCCCCCGGCAGCGCGCGUAGGGCUAAAUGGGCCGCAAAGAGAAAGUGAUGAAGUGGGCCGAAUUCGUGGGAGCCAGCCCAAACAGAGUUUCUUCUUCUUUUUCUUUUAUUUUCUUUUCUCUCUCUUUUCAAAUUCAAGUUGUAUUCAAAUUUAAUUCAAACUAUUGUGACCAAUUAUUCUCAGAUGAUGUUGCGCCAUAAACAGUACUACUUUGAAGACAUAUUAUUAUAUAUAUUAUUUUUAUAUCUUUUCUCCUUUUGGUUUCAAUUCUAGAAUUUUCUUUCUUCUUUUUUCAAACUCUAGCAUUUCUUUUAGGAUUUAAUUUCCCAUUGGAGUAUUAACAUACUUAUUAUUAUAUAUUUUCUAUAUUUUUAUAUCAUCACAAAGUGCACACAAAGUAAGAUCCAGCAUGAUGCACAGGUUAAUUAUGUGUUCUUUAUUCUAUUUAUCCACUUUUAGCUAGUGUUGAUCACAUGUAAUGAAUAGUAGAGGCCACAAACUAUUGAGAUUAUCUAUAUUCUCUUUAUUACACUUUUGAGUAUUACAGUCGUCCCCUUCCUUCCUUCCCCCUCCCGACCGCCUAUAAAAGGGUCCGCCCGAGCCCCUUGUUCCUCCACAUCAGAACUCGGCCACCCCACCUCCCCUCCCUCGAGCUCAAUCGAAUUCGGCGCCGUUGUCUCUCCCCUCUCCGUUGAGCUCCGACCUCCUCCCUCUGCUAAGUCCCAGUCCAAUUCAUAUGGUUCUUGAGCUUCGCCACUCCUUUACGAACGCAAUGCACCCAUCCCCACCUCCUAUUACGCUCGGCUGCCUUGCCGGCAACCUCACCGCCGCGAGCGCCCGCCACCGCGCCAUGGACCAGCCACCCUAGGCCUCCGCCGGUCAAAUUGACCCCACCCCCGUGACCCCCUACCACCACCCAUGCCUUGCCACCACUUCCCCGUCGCGAAACCGAGAUCCCAGCGGAGAACCACCCGCGCCGUUAACCCCCUCCUCUCGCUGACGCAUGGGCCCGCGCUGCGCCGCUCCUUCGUGGGCCGCCUGCCGCGCCAGCGCGCGCGUUCACCCUUGGCUGGGCCGAAAAUCACCCCCCCCCCCGGCCCAGCUAGCUAGAAAUCCUUUCUCCUUUUUCUUUUCCCAUUUUCAUAUAUAUAUAUUUAUAUGCUGAUAUUUUAUGCACCACAAAUGGUUUAAAUAAAAUCAUAGGGCACAAAAAUAAUAAGGUAUAAGAAUUGGCACACCCACUAAAGUCACCAUGAUUGAUGUAUUGCUCUUAUCUAUGCUUGUUAGCGGAAGAGGGAUCCGAUCCUCCGGAAUUUGUAGCUCCGAAAGAAGGGCAGGAACCCGACCCCUCCGAGAUAAAUCUUUUGUGCCAGGAAAGCUUCGACGAAGGCAAGUCCAUCCUUCCCUUGAUGCAUGAUUUACCUAUUCUCUCUACCACUACCUAAGCCGGGACUAAGGGAUGGAAUCUAUUUGCAUGGUGAGCAUGAGAGAGCCCGCAUUAACUAAUACCUUUUGAUCACAAGAUAUGGGAUGGGAAAAAGUUGUAACCAACGAUGUUUUCAAAUGUGUGCGAUGAAGGGUAUUCGCCCUCAUCACCUGGUGAGUAGGAUGAUCAGGGACUCCCUGGUUUAGGGGAGGGCCUAAGGUGAUGGCUCAGCUGGUUUAGGCGUGAGCAGAAGGAUUGUCCUCUCAUAUAAGGACCAGUUUGUCAUCCUUCACUACCUGUACUCAUGAAAAGUACAACCACUCGAGGCUGUGUGGGCAGUCACUCGAUCUGAACUCGUACGGUCCAACCCCAGGGUUAUGAAGGCUGGGGAGCACUGGGAGGAUAAGGAGGGGGAAUGUUUUGUCCGGUUUGGACAUGGUGGUGGCCUGACUCCUUCCGGUAUAACCGUUAAGGUUAGGACGUGCGAGGAAGGAAAGAGAUUCGGAUUCGGAUCUCAUUGGCCAUGAGAUCGCAGAGCCAGACUAGUGGGUAAAGUGUACCCCUCUGCGCAGAGUUUAAACCUAUUCGAAUAGUCUGUGUCCACUGGUAUGAACGAGUCUGGUGUGGUAUGACAAUUAGUGUUUCUACAACAUGCGGGAACAGGGAAAUACGUGUGUGUGAGUGUGUCUCUGGAAAAGAAAAUGGUGCCACGGGAGCGGGAAGCUCAGUGGUGGUUAAGCAACGUGUUAUUUCUAUUUCUUCGAGAAAACCCUAAAAACAAGUACUGCCUUUCUCUAAGAAAAAGAAGAGUGACUUCAACUCCACCAUAUGAAGCAUGUAUGAUAUAGGUCUCUUUCUCUUUACGAGAGCCGGGUGGGCUUGCGGAAUACCUAGUGUAUUCACCCAGAUUUAUUUAUGUUUUCAGUAGCUGAAGAUUUUUUUUCUGCUAUGCUUGAUUGAGAGGGUUGUGUGUCACACCCGGGUUUCGGGGCACCAAGACCCGGGCGCAACAUAAUCACCAGGUGUGCUGGGACCAAGUCUCACACAUAUGAUGAAUCAUGGCACAGGAUCGAAUGUCACAUCUUUACUAUAUAAUAGGAGUUCUAUACAAAAUAAAUAAUUACAUUAUAAGGAGACAACGGUCCAGCAACCCAAAGUUUACUGGGAGACGACGUCCUAGACCUCUCACGAACACAUCGCAGCAUCCUCCAUGCGCCUCAUCCUGGGGUACCUGUUCUUGACCUGUGGGGGGGGUGAGACAGCAAGAGUGAGCUCACAUACGUUCAUCGCUCAACAAGUUGUGGGGAAUAAUGUGAAUUAACUCGCCAAAGGUGGGAGUUCAUGUGAAGUGUAAGGCUUACCAAAGAGGAUGGUUAGAGCUGAGCAUUGCUUUUAAAGUUGGUCAAAAUUUUAUUAGCAAUUACUAAGUAUAAGUAAAUACCAACCCAAUUAAAUAGUAGAAUAAAAGUAACAACAUCACCUGCGAUGCAAUGCAUAUGACAAAUUGAAUUUAGUUCCAUAAAUUAAUCAUGUGAGGGUCCGACCGAGCUGCUCAUGACCGUGAGCACGGCUAGUAUACCAGUUUUACACUCUGCAGAGGUUGCGCAUCUUUACCCACAAGUCAUGUUACCCAUCUGCCAAGGGAUCGCGACUUCCCAUACACCUCUACCGAGGAGGCGAGGCAGGGUAACACUAUGAGGCCUUUACAAAGUUCCACUAGCUUCAGAAAACCCGCUACAGUUUAUAGGAAGCUCCAAUGCAGGGUUCUUGCCUGACCGCCAUCGCAGCAAAAUCAACCAAGGACCUCCCUACACUGACCACUCCCCUACUGCCCUUGCCCCUUUCGGGUAAGGUAGUCCUCCACUAGCUUUCCUAAUUAAUCAGCCAAGGGCGUCCAUAAACCCUUGUGGUAGCACUGUUUACCCGGGUGGUCGCUCCAUGUUCCAAUUAACAUAAUGAUCUUAUCAUGAACAGUAAAUAACAACGGAUAACAAAAGUAUAAUCAUGAAUAAUGUAUCUUCAUACCCAAAACCACAUAAAGCACUAGCAAGUACUACCCAAAAAGUUCAGUGGUAAACAAGGUAUAAAGAUAAUCAAACUAGGGCAACCUAUUGGGUCCCAUCAAAAUUAACCUAUGCAGAUCAUUAUGAUUAAUCAGAACAUGGCUGGGUAAAAAGAAGUGAUCAAGGGCACAACUUGACUGGGACUUGAGAUUCCAGGUACCAGGAUGAUCUUCAGAUGACACGUGUCCUCACUGCUAAACGUAGCAAUACAGACAAACAUGGUAUAGGCAAAAAUUAAUAUUACACCAAUCAUAAGAAUAAACUGCGUAAUAAUAAUCUACGCGUUGCUACGAGAUCGUGGGUUCGAGAACCGCUAAAUUCGGAGCUACGGUUAUAAAUUUAUGAUUUUCUAAAGUUUUAGGAGUGGUGUACAAAAGAAAUUAAGUACAUAAUUUCAAUUUAGAUUUCAUAACAAAAUAAGGUUACUAGAUGAUAGAUAAUAUUAAUAUGAAACUAAUGCAACUGAAACGGAUCAAAUCGGAGCUAAAAUAAUUAAGUUAUGAAUUUGCUAAGUUUCUAUAUUUCUUUUUAUGUUAUAAAUCAUUUCCUAUAUUAAAUUCUGCUUUUAUCCGAAACUCUGGGAUGAGGGCAGCAUUUAGGAGAAGUUCAGGGACUAAAACAAAAAUAUUCCUAAGACCCAGGCUUAACCAAGCAGUGGACCGCGGGUUGAUUAUGAAGAACCCCGAGGGCCCUUUAAGAAUUCUACCCUGGCGUCGUGACCUCAUGCGAUCCCAACCGUCCGAUCAAAAACUGAGCGCUAGGAUUAGAUCCGUUAUUAAAGCGAAACGGUACACUCUGCGCACCGUUGGAUCACAAUCGGAUGGCGCAUGAUCACUCGCUCACCCACGGCCACGGGAUCGCUGAUCUACGGUACAAAUAAAACCCUGAACCGGUAUCCUUAGGUUUAGAUUUGUGCCAUCGACGGACGGACCAACGGCCCGAUCGCCAUCUUCUCUUACGAGCAGGCAGAGUGACGGCGCCGCCCAGGUUCGCGACGGACUAUCGCCGGAGAGCGCUUGACUCCCGCCCCUGGUGUAGGAUUCCUCGCCGCGCUGGUUGCUACGCAAUGAGAAGCAGGUGGCAAACCAAGUCCGAGGAUACAUACCGCUUAAUCAGAUGCCCACAUCGGUCGGCCACAGAUUUCGCGGUGUAGAGUACUCCGGCGACGAAUUGCGGCGCCGCCUGUCCACAAUCGUGCCCGGAACGACCCUGUACACCACCAGUGUGACACUCCGAAGCUUCCAGGCCCAAAUCUGAGGCCUCGUCGAUGGAGCACCCGUGGUUCUACGUCGGCGGCACUCUCUUCCCCUUGGUGCGUGGCGAAGCUAGGCAAUGGCGUACUCGGCUGUGGCUUGGGUACCGAGGAAAGGCAUAGGUCUUAUAGGAGGCGGGUCCGGGUUUGGUUGCGCUCGGUCUGCGGGAAUCGCGCGCGUGCGGAGCUCUCGGCCACGGCUAAUUCGGUCAGCGCGCGGAAGCUGUUGCGCGGAAGCGCGCUGCGGCUGAUCCACGAGCGCCGAAGGAAUCAAAGAACUUUUGCAUGCGGAGUCCGCGCGACGAGGGCCUCGCAUUGCGGAUUUGCCGCGGACUCUGCACACAGUGCGUCGCGGAGAUCGUACGUUAGUUGGGGAAGACGACGACGACGCUGACGACCCGGGGCCACAUGGCGGCGAAAUGUGAGGGAGUGCUUGGCGAGAGCGAGACGGUGUGUGGCUGGCAGAGUGGGGCCCGAACGUCAUUGACGAAGGCGCGUGCGCGGUCACGAAAUGGACAAGCAGGCCCACUGGUCAGCGGGUAGCGCGUGGUGGAGAUGGCGGGUAGCACGGGGUUAACAGGAGAUGGGCCGGUUUUGGGGUUGGUGGCCCAGUUGGUGUGUUCCCCAUUCUCUCUUUUUUUAUUUUCUUUUUAUCUUCUAAUCUCCUUAUCUAAUCUUUUUGAUUCAAAUUUUGAAUUCAAAUUUAAAUGUGCACUUGCACUCAAAUUAAAAUUAUAACAUAAACAUACUAGUAUGGUAGUACUUUAUUUAACCAUAUAUUUUGUUUUAUCUUGUAUAGUGUUUAUUUUUGUUUCCCUCCAUUUCCCAUUUAAUUCCUUUUCUAUUUUCUUUCUCAUUUCAAUUUCAAAUCAAACCAAGUUUUAAAUUCUAAAUUUCAAAUUUAUGCACAAGAAAAACUUCACAUGAUGCACAAUUACUACAUAAUAUUUCUUCAUUUAUUUUAUUAUUAUAUUAAUUAGGUAAUGUUUUCAACAUGAAGUACACACACCUCAUUAUAGCAAUAUAUUAUUAUUUGAGUGUGUAGUCGAAUUAAAGGUAUAUUCAAAAAUUCUCCCUUUGUUUUGAUAGGAACAUUUUUCCAAUGUCUAAUCUUUAUUAUGAUUUAUUUUAACCAUCGUUAUUUUAUUAUGAUCAUUUACCUUUAAAAAGGGUGAAUUAUAAAGUUUAAUUAUUUAUCAAGGGUACUUUGCUCAGAUUUCUUCUACCAAUCCCAAAUUCAGAAUUUGGGUGUUACAAAUCCUACCCCUCUUAACAAAAAUCUCGUCCCCGAGAUUUGUAAGAAAGAGGUUGCAAUAAGUUUGGUUUGUAGUCUAUGUUUUAAGUUUUCAAGUGGUUUUAAUUCCCAUUUUUUUAAAAGUUUUAUAAUACAAAUUAGAAGGUGAUUAGGGAAGCUUGGGUAUGUAUAUCCACUUUAUUGUGUAUGGUAAAAUAGGUCUUUAACGCAUAGAGAGGUUUGGGUAAGAAAGAGUACGGUAAAGAAAGACUCCAUCCCGGAUUGUGGAUCUUGAUUCCUUUGAAGAUCUGGCUUGAACCUUAUCCUUCCUUGAUUGAUGAGGUCGAUCAUCUUCGAUCUUCGUUCUUGAAGUUGUUAUCCGAAUUAGGGACACAUAGUUAGGAUAACUGGGGUACACGAGGUAGGUAGGUUUGAACAAAGUUUUACUUUGCUUUUAGGACAAAUGUACUAAGUAGCCUGUGAGGUAGGUCAUGUUGUUUGUUCACGGACGAGUUGGUCUGUCGUUCUUAAUUUAGUGCAGAGUGCAAUAAGUUAAAAUAUGUUUUAUAGGGGUAGAGUCUCAUUUAUUUUACCACUAUCAACUAGUUAAGUGAUUGACCUUAGGUUAGCUCAACUUAAGGUUAGACUUCGUUAGGUUAGAUUAAUCCAUCACAUUAGAUCAGAUCUGAGUUAGAUUGUUAUGACUAGAUAAGAUCUCAUUAAUUUGGAUUAGAUCAUGGUUGUUACUUUAGGAUGAGAUAAGCAAAGUUGUUAGGAUAAGACGAAUAUGUCAAGGUGAGAUGAAUUUAUUGAGAUAAGAGAGAAUCUUUUAAGCCAAGAUGGAUCUAUGAGUGUAAGAUAGAAUCUUUCAAGAUAAGAUGAAUAUUGUUAGGCUAGAUACUUUAAUGAGGGAUAAUCUAGUUUGUCUAGUUAGUUUUAUAAGCAUUAUGUAUAUGCAGAUGUAAUUGUGGACAUUACUCCACAACUCAUCACACUCAAUCAAAAAUCUAAAUCAAACAUGUAUCACAAGAACAAACAUUCAAGCAUACAAAUAUUUACCAAAAAUAGUUUUGAUUUUGUUCCUAAAAGUAGGUCUCCUAUUCCUAAAGGUCACUUUAGGUACGGGAUUUCAAAGUGUGACAUCCACAUUUGUCUUUAGAAAAGAAAAGAUAAGAAUAAUCAGAGUAAAGCGGAAAUAGAUGAGAAAAGAUUAAGAUAAGUUUAGAAAAGAAUCAGAGUAGCAAAGGUAAGUAGACAAUGGUUGUCCAGUUCUAUCUAGGUUUUGUCCUACAGUCAACAUUCCUCUGAUACCACUUCUGUCACACCCGGUUUUCGGGGCACCAAGACCCGGGCACAACAUAAUCACCAGGUGUGCUGGGACCAAGUCUCACACAUAUGAUGAAUCAUGGCAUAGGAUCGAAUGUCACAUCUUUACUAUAUAAUAGGAGUUCUAUACAAAAUAAAUAAUUACAUUAUAAGGAGACAACGGUCCAGCAACCCAAAGUUGACUGGGAGACGACGGCCUAGACCUCUCACGAACACAUCGCAGCAUCCUCCAUGCGCCUCAUCCUGGGGUACCUGUUCUUGACCUGUGGGGGGGUGUGAGACAGCAAGAGUGAGCUCACAUACGUUCAUCGCUCAACAAGUUGUGGGGAAUAAUGUGAAUGAACUCGCCAAAGGUGGGAGUUCAUGUGAAGUGUAAGGCUUACCAAAGAGGAUGGUUAGAGCUGAGCAUUGCUUUUAAAGUUGGUCAAAGUUUUAUUAGCAAUUACUAAGUAUAAGUAAAUACCAACCCAAUUAAAUAGUAGAAUAAAAGUAACAACAUCACCUGCGAUGCAAUGCAUAUGACAAAUUGAAUUUAGUUCCAUAAAUUAAUCAUGUGAGGGUCCGACCGAGCUGCUCAUGACCGUGAGCAUGGCUAGUAUACCAGUUUUACACUCUGCAGAGGUUGCGCAUCUUUACCCACAAGUCAUGUUACCCAUCUGCCAAGGGAUCGUGACUUCCCAUACACCUCUACCGAGGAGGCGAGGCAGGGUAACACUACGAGGCCUUUACAAAGUUCCACUAGCUUCAGAAAACCGCUACAGUUUAUAGGAAGCUCCAAUGCAGGGUUCUUGUCUGACCGCCAUCGCAGCAAAAUCAACCAAGGACCUCCCUACACUGACCACUCCCCUACUGCCCUUGCCCCUUUCGGGUAAGGUAGUCCUCCACUAGCUUUCCUAAUUAAUCAGUCAAGGGCGUCCAUAAACCCUUGUGGUAGCACUGUUUACCCGGGUGGUCGCUCCAUGUUCCAAUUAACAUAAUGAUCUUAUCAUGAACAGUAAAUAACAACGGAUAACAAAAGUAUAAUCAUGAAUAAUGUAACUUCAUACCCAAAACCACAUAAAGCACUAGCAAGUACUACCCAAAAAGUUCAGUGGUAAACAAGGUAUAAAGAUAAUCAAACUAGGGCAACCUAUUGGGUCCCAUCAAAAUUAACCUAUGCAGAUCAUUAUGAUUAAUCAGAACAUGGCUGGGUAAAAAGAAGUGAUCAAGGGCACAACUUGCCUGGGACUUGAGAUUCCAGGUACCAGGAUGAUCUUCAGAUGACACGUAUCCUCACUGCUAAACGUAGCAAUACAGACAAACAUGGUAUAGGCAAAAAUUAACAUUACACCAAUCAUAAGAAUAAACUGCGUAAUAAUAAUCUACGCGUUGCUACGAGAUCGUGGGUUCGAGAACCGCUAAAUUCGGAGCUACGGUUAUAAAUUUAUGAUUUUCUAAAGUUUUAGGAGUGGUGUACAAAAGAAAUUAAGUACAUAAUUUCAGUUUAGGUUUCAUAACAAAAUAAGGUUACUAGAUGAUAGAUAAUAUUAAUAUGAAACUAAUGCAACUGAAACGGAUCAAAUCGGAGCUAAAAUAAUUAAGUUAUGAAUUUGCUAGGUUUCUAUAUUUCUUUUUAUGUUAUAAAUCAUUUCCUAUAUUAAAUUCUGCUUUUAUCCGAAACUCUGGGAUGAGGGCACCAUUUAGGAGAAGUUCAGGGACUAAAACAAAAAUAUUCCUAAGACCCAGGCUUAACCAAGCAGUGGACCGCGGGUUGAUUAUGAAGAACCCCGAGGGCCCUUUAAGAAUUCUACCCUGGCGCCGUGACCUCAUGCGAUCCCAACCGUCCGAUCAAAAACUGAGCGCUAGGAUUAGAUCCGUUAUUAAAGCGAAACGGUACACUCUGCGCACCGCUGGAUCACAAUCGGAUGGCGCAUGAUCACUCGCUCGCCCACGGCCGCGGGAUCGCUGAUCUACGGUACAAAUAAAACCCCGAACCGGUAUCCUUAGGUUUAGAUCUGUGCCAUCCACGGACGGACCAACGGCCCGAUCGCCAUCUUCUCUUACGAGCAGGCAGAGUGACGGUGCCGCCCAGGUUCGCGACGGACUAUCGCCGGAGAGCGCUUGACUCCCGCCCCUGGUGUAGGAUUCCUCGCCGCGCUGGUUGCUACGCAAUGAGAAGCAGGUGGCGAACCAAGUCCGAGGAUAUAUACCGUUCAAUCAGAUGCCCAGAUCGGUCGGCCACAGAUUUCACGGUGUAGAGUACUCCGGCGACGAAUUGCGGCGCCGCCUGCCCACAAUCGUGCCCGGAACGACCCUGUACACCACCAGUGCGACACUCCGAAGCUUCCAGGCCCAAAUCUGAGGCCUCGUCGAUGGAGCAUCCGUGGUUCUACGUCGGCGGCACUCUCUUCCCCUUGGUGCGUGGCGAAGCUAGGCGAUGGCGUACUCGGCUGUGGCUUGGGUACCGAGGAAAGGCAUAGAUCUUAUAGGAGGCGGGUCCGGGUUUGGUUGCGCUCGGUCUGCGGGAAUCGCGCGCGUGCGGAGCUCUCGGCCACGGCUAAUUCGGUCAGCGCGUGGAAGCUGUUGCGCGGAAGCGCGCUGCGACUAAUCCACGAGCGCCGAAGGAAUCGGAGAACAUUUGCAUGCGGAGUCCGUGCGACGAGGGCCUCGCAUUGUGGAUUUGUCGCGGACUCUGCGCACAGUGCGCCGCGGAGAUCGUACGUUAGUUGGGGAAGACGACGACGACGCUGACGACCCGGGGCCACCUGGCGGCGAAAUGUGAGGGAGUGCUUGGCGAGAGCGAGACGGUGUGUGGCUGGCAGAGUGGGGCCCGAACGUCAUUGACGAAGGCGCGUGCGCGGUCACGAAAUGGACAAGCAGGCCACUGGUCAGCGGGUAGCGCGUGGUGGAGAUGGCGGGUAGCACGGGGUUAACAGGAGAUGGGCCGGUUUUGGGGUUGGUGGCCCAGUUGGUGUGUUCCCCAUUCUCUUUUUUUUUAUUUUCUUUUUAUCUUCUAAUUUCCUUAUCUAAUCUUUUUGAUUCAAAUUUUAAAUUCAAUUUUAAAUGUGCACUUGCACUCAAAUUAAAAUUAUAACAUAAACAUACUAGUAUGGUAGUACUUUAUUUAACCAUAUAUUUUGUUUUAUCUUGUAUAGUGUUUAUUUUUGCUUCCCUCUAUUUCCCAUUUAAUUCCUUUUCUAUUUUCUUUCUCAUUUCAAUUUCAAAUCAAACCAAGUUUUAAAUUCUAAAUUUCAAAUUUAUGCACAAGAAAAACUUCACAUGAUGCACAAUUACUACAUAGUAUUUCUUCAUUUAUUUUAUUAUUAUAUUAAUUAGGUAAUGUUUUCAACAUGAAGUACACACACCUCAUUAUAGCAAUAUAUUAUUAUUUGAGUGUGUAGUCGAAUUAAAGGUAUAUUCAAAAUUUCUCCCUUUGUUUUGAUAGGAACAUUUUUCCAAUGUCUAAUCUUUAUUAUGAUUUAUUUUAACCAUCGUUAUUUUAUUAUGAUCAUUUACCUUUAAAAAGGGUGAAUUAUAAAGUUUAAAUAUUUAUCAAGGGUACUUUGCUCAGAUUUCUUCUACCAAUCCCAAAUUCAGAAUUUGGGUGUUACACUGUGUCUUCACUCAGUUCUGCCUGUGGCCUGGGCUAGUUUAUCUUCCACUACGUUUUAUAAUUUCGGCUCACUCUCGAGCUUGUACCCUGGUAUUGUAAUAACAUUUACUCAAACUCUGUACUAUUUGAAGUAAGGAAUGUGGUUACUAGCCUCCUGGGACUAGUAAUUGUAUCACAUUUGAGUCCCAAAGAAUCGGGACGCUUCACAGACUCCCUUGAUGGAGCCUUCCCAUGGCUUGUGGCCUUCUCGCCGGUUUCCAUAUCCCUCUUGGUGGAUCCUCCCGACAUUACUUCGAGUUGUUAGACUCUAAUGAAGCACCGGGCUCGGAUACUAAUUGAAAGUCGCCUAGAGGGGGGUGAAUAGGCGGAAUAUGAAAAUUAUAAACUUAAGCACACACUACAUGCCGGGGUUAGCGUUAGAAAUAAAUCCGAGACCGAAAGAUAGGGAAAAACAAAUCAAGAGCGAAUCAAGCAGAUGAACACGGUGAUUUGUUUUACCGAGGUUCGGUUCUAAAGAACCUAGUCCCCGUUGAGGUGGUCACAAAGACCGGGUCUCUUUCAACCCUUUCCCUCUCUCAAACGGUCACUUAGACUGAGUGAGCCUUUUCCUUAAUCUCCCAGGUCACUUAGACCCCGCAAGGACCACCACACACUUAGGUGUCUCUUGCUUCGAUUACAAAUCACUUGAGAAAAGAAAUGAGAAAGGAAGAAGGCAAUCCAAGAGGCAAGAGCUCAAAAGAACACAAAAUCUCUCUCUCACAAGUCACUAAGUGUUUGAGAUGAAUUGGGGACUUGGAGAGGCUUUGAUCUUUUGAAUUGUGUCUAGGAGUGAAUGCUAGAGCUCUUCUGAUGAAUAUGAUACUCAAAAACCUUGGAUGCUUGGGGUGGUGGUGGUUGGGGGUAUUUAUAGCCCUCAACCACCAAACAACCGUUGGGGCAGGCUGCUGUCGAUGGGUGCACCGGACAGUCCGGUGCGCCAGCCACGUCACCCAACCGUUAGGGUUCUGGAGCUUUUGACCGUUGGAGGCUUUGUCUCUAGUGGCACCGGACAGGCACUAUUCAGUGUCCGGUGCGCCUCUGACCUGCGGCUCUGACUCUGCGUGCACUGUUUCUCACUGUUCAUCUGAUCACCGCGCUUUUGCAGUCGACCGUUGCGCGAAGUAGUCGUUGCUCCGCUGUCACACCGGACAGUCCGGUGGCACACCGGACAGUCCGAUGAAUUAUAGCGGAGCGCGCCUGAAGAAACCCGAGAGUGGCUAGUUGGACUCAGUACGGUCCUGGUGCACCGGACACUGUCUGAUGCGCCAAACCAGAGCACACUCGGUUUCUUUGCUCCUUUGAAUUUGAUCCCUAACUUCAAUCUUUUAUUGGUUUGUGUUGAACCUUUAUGCACCUGUAGAACAUAUAUUCUAGAGCAAACUAGUUAGUCCAAUAUUUGUGUUGGGCAUUCAACCACCAAAAUUAAUACUGGGAAAAGGUUAACCCUAUUUCCCUUUCAAGAUAUGAGCAUCCUCGCCCACACGCCUACGGUUGAGCUCUGCCUAUAGGCCAUCAGUCCGCGCGCCCCUCACUGAGGGUGACUGCACGGAUGCUGACGCCUCGCGUCGACACCGGUAUAGUCGUGGCCCAGUUCUGCCAGAACCAGGGCGAUCUGGGCCAUGCUGAGAGGUAGUCGACGUCUUCGUGCCAUUGCCUCAUGGCCCCCGGUGAGGCUUUGGAGCUUGGGGGUUGCGGAGCAACUUCCUGGCUGCUGAUAGCAACCCACCGGGAGUAGCCCGUGAGGGGGUCCUAGACUCCUACACUGGCAUGUGUUGCUGUGCAGCAUGCAUAAUAGCGGCACUAGACAUAGGGCGGUAAGAGCCUGUAGCGUGGAAAAUGUCGCCUCUUCCCCCAUUGGGAAGUCCCCGGAGGACGAGUCGUGGUGCUCGAUGAUCUGUACCAUCAUGUCGAGCAAGGAAAACAUGCAAGAAAUCUAAGCCUAGUGCCCCCUACCUGGCGCACCAAUUGUCAGAGAGAAAACUCCAGUUGGGUGGUGGAAUGUACCCCCUAAUCUUGUGAACUAGGGGGCCUAGAGAUUUUCCUGAUUAGUUGGAUGAACUCGAGAACACAAGGGUUAGAGUGGUUCAGGCCGCUAGAGCAUAAUACCCUACAUCCACUGUGAGUUGUAUUGCAUGAGGAACGAGUCUCUGUGUGUCCGAGGGGUUCCGAGAGAGUCUGUCCCUUGUAACGUUGUGUGCCUUCCCUUUUAUAGUCCAGGGGGCACAUACAAGGAAGUUGAGCCCCGACAGGCGGGCCUAGGAAUAUAGUAAUAAAAACAUGGAACAACUAAUGUUGCUGGCGGACCGAGAUCUUCUCUUGGUCACCGUGUGGAUUUCUUGACCAGCCUCUCCUUCGCCUUGUCUUGUCAGCGUAUGGGCGAAGGCUCUGGUAAGGGCCACAGCGUAGACUGAUACGCCGACGUGCGUAGGAGCGUGCACAAUCGCAUGUGUUGUCAUGUCCGGUCGAUCACUGUAACGGACACAUUACCCGACCGAACGACGCUUCAUGAUGGUGUCAUCACGCGUGUGGCACAACGGCCUCGGUAACGCGCGGAGCUCUAAGCGAACAUUUAAUGCACGCGACGCUACCAUGCUACUGUGCACCUCGAUAACGUGUGGGUGGUUACAGAGACAUGUUACAAGCCUGCCAAUGCCCUGCACUUGGUCAGAGGCUGCCUUGCAUUUAAUGUGGGCUAAGGCCUUGCUUCCAUGCGAAGGUUCGCACCAUGCGCUCAGCGGCCACGUGGCGUUACCGAACCCCUGCUUGGGUCCGGAGUAGGGCCUGGGGCAUGUUCUGCCCUGGAGCACCGAUAGCCCUCAUUAACGACCCAGACCCCAUACGGGGGGAGGGUCUAGAGCCCUACUCGAGGGUCCGGUUUGUAUACGUGGAGGUCCUGGACCUUCCAUGGGUUCUGAUUGUGUACAUGGGGGUCCGAGACCUACCCAUGGGGGUCCAGAUCCAUAGGUGAAGUCCCUGAGCAUAUCGCCUCCCUGGACACGUGGCACCACUGGACCUACCCAUAAGACAGGGACAUGCGCUGUUCUAGAAUCGGAGUGGUUGGUCGAGGCAGGUAGCUCUCGGAGUGUUGCUUGAGACACCCUUGGGCAAAGCAGAAAUGCGCUUCUCGCUCGAGGCUAGAGUGGGCGAGUCGGAAAUGUGUUCCUCGCCCGAGGCUGGCCUCGAGCGAGUCGCGACUGCGUCUCCCGUUUAGGGUUGGCCUCGAGCGAGUCAUGACAUGGGUCGAGGUGCUCAGUUCCUUAGCGCACGAUUAGAGAUAACCAUGUGAGUGCUGUGUUUUGAUACAGUAGUAAGGGGUACCCUAGUUCUAUGGUAUCGAUAGUACUUUUAACUACAUCUUCUCCUUAAGAGUUGGUUUAGUGACCAGAGACCACGGGGAUCCAUGGGAAGGAGUCCCCUUGCUAUUUAAUAAGAUUCCUCCUCCAUGGACCCCGUGAUCUCUGGUCACCAAAUCAGUACUAAUAGUAUUUAGAAGUGAUCUUGUCAACUCUAAAUAGUACUCUGAUCGUUUUUGCAUAUCUUGGUCUUCUCAGCUGACCAUAUUACCCCUCUCUCAUUUUGCAUAUCUUUUUUAGCUAAUUGAUGUGCUCCCUUUCUCGCUGACUGCCGACCGAAGAGAAUGCACGUAAACUCCCUGGACAAGGAACUUCGACAUUCAAUAUCAUUUGAAGGGAGCGUGGUAACCAGGACCUGAUAUUGCCCCAUCUGUAAAACUCAUCUCGGGUUCCAAGUUUGUGGCUGAAGAAAAUGAAAAUCAGAUUGAAUAAAAAACAGACUGAAAACACUAACUGAAGAACACAUAGACUGAAACACUAACUGAAGAAAACGAAAAACAGACUAAAACUACCCUGACACUUGAAACUGUCAGCAGCGCAAGGAUUUAUUCAACAAUAAGGACCUGAUAUUGCCACAUCCAUAUGUUAUUGCCCCGUGCGUUUUAAUAACACUUCAUGAAUAAUAACAAGGACCUGAUCAUGUUCUGAAUAUUGGCUUGCACAACUUGGUGUGCAAAAUAAAAAAGAUUAUUCUUUACCUAAAAGGAGCAAUUAAAUAGCAGAUUUAUGUCACAACCCACAUCAAACAAAAAAAUGUUUUUCCAAACAUUCAACAUCCCAUGCUAAUACAGGCAAUCAGAGUUGUUAUUAAACUAAAUGGUCCAAUGACUCCAAUCCAAAGUUAAAGUAAUCAAUUGCCAGCAUGUGAUUAAACUAAAUUGUCCUCUCUUUCUUCUUGAAUUGAUAUUGAAUCACAAUCCACUAAUGAAGGUGGCUGCUCUAUAAAUGGAAGUGUCAGCUCUACUCUCAGAUGUGAUUUAUCUCCGUCCAUAGGCGUCGUCAUUGUGGCUCUCCCAAUAAGUCUCUUGUAAUAUGACACCUAAGUAUCAUCAAGGAAGAUAUAUAAUUAAGGAGUGUUUGAAGGCACUAGAAAUAAUAGUUAGUGGCUAAAAUUAGCUAGAGACAUGCAAACAUCCUAGCUUAUAGUUCAGUUAUUAGCUAUUUUUAGUAAAUUAGCUACUAGUUAGCUAACUAUUUGUUAACUAGCUAAUUCUACUAGUAUAUUUUUAGCUAACUAACUAUUAGCUCUAGUGCAUUUAAACACCUCCUAAAAAGACUAAGUAUUUCAUAUUUAAUAUUUUGUAAUUUGUAUUCGGUUUUGAUGCACAUGUAUUAGUAUUCAGUUUCUUGAUGUAUAUCCACCCUCAGAAUUCAGUUUUCCUGAUCCAAACAAUUAGUAUUUAUUUUUCUUGAUCUAAGCCAUAGCUUCUUGCCUCCUCACACGAAUACAGAAACAUGUUGCAACCUAUCUGGCCGGCAAAGUUUCACAUGGGAAACAUGAUGGUGGCAGCAGCAGCAAAGUUUUGCAUAGGAGAUACAUGGUGGAUUGGUGGAUAGCAAGCAGGAAACCACACAUCCAUGGUGCAUACGAACAAGAACUUUGCAAUGGUGGGGAGGGAGAUGAACCUGUUGUGGCCGCGAGGGAGAAAUUCCUGUGGCGGAGUGCAGGAAGGCAAUCUCCGAUUGGCGGCGGCCAUGUUCAUGAUGGGGAAGUGAAGUACUCUCAAUUCUGCGAUGGAAAGACGUAUCGGUGGAUGGAGUGUAAGGGCAACAUGGUCAGUUGAGAAAACGAAGGUAAAGAAAAUAAUUAAAAUAAUUAAAAAACCAUAGAAUACUAUUCAGUAAGAUCACUUCUAACUACUAUAUCCGUUCAUAAAUAUACGACAACAUUAUUUUUUUUGAAAAUUUUUAAUCACUCAUCUUAUCUAAAAUAUUUAUUUAAACAAUUAAAAUUUUAAACAAAUAUAAACUAACUUAAAUAAUAAAACAAAUCAUAAAAAAUAAAAUGAUAAUUUAUUAUUUAUUUGAAUAAGAUAAGUGAUUAAAGUUUUAAAAAAAAUAAUAGUGUCAUAUAUUUAUGAAGGGGGAAUAAUUUUAUAGAGAAGAUGGAGUUGAGAGUAACGUAAUAGAAGCCCGUUAAAACGAGUGUCAUAACAGAAAAAACUCACCGGGAAGAAGUAUAGAUGGCCAACAGGCCAGCCCGGCACGACCCGGCACGGGCCCGGGGAAGUACGGCCCAUCAGCCAACGGGUCGGCCCGGGCACACGGGCUUAACGGGCCGUGCCUAGGGAGCCCACGUGCCUGGCCGUUGGCCCAGGCACGGCCCUCUGGGCCACUUUUCGUGUCGGGCCAGCCCGCUAGGCACGUUCAAAAAAACGGGUCGUGCCAGCACCAGCCCGUCAGAGAUCCCAAACAGCAGAAAACAUAGAGAAAUUUAACCAAAGUUAAAAAACAGCAGAAAAUAUAGACAAAUAUAAUAAAUGAGCUGUUUUGUGCAAUGCUGCCUAAUUAAAAACCUUUCUAGGUAAAACUCACCCUUGUGAGAAACCCUAGAAAGGAAAAAAGAGUGCAGCCAGCUUAAAGUUUAAUCACUAAUAAGUUUGUAUCUGUUACAAAUGUAUAUUACAAUACAAAAUGACUCUCUCACAAUCACUCAAUGACAAAGCAGUGAAAGCACAUGUCAGAUGACCACAUCACAGUCUAGAAGACUACAACUAAGCAGCAACAGGUUCAUCUUCAUCAAGAAAUAAAUUCUGGAAUGAGUCCUCAAGCUCUGGAUUGUCAACAACAUGUUGUUCUCUCUUUUCUCCUAAUUCCCAAUCUUUUAAGCAAGUCAGCAUCUCCACAUUCUCAGGCAAUAAGCGUCGUCGUCGCUCCUCGAUUAUCCUCCCUGUCAAACUGAAACAAGACUCCGAAGAGACAGUAGAUACAGGAACAGCCAUAAUAUCCCUUGCCAUUAUGGAUAAAACUGGAUAUGUUAGCUUGUGGUCACGCCACCAGAGAAGUAUAUCAAAAUCAUCCUCAUAAGAAGUGACAUUGUCACUGUCUAAGUAGGCUGUGAGCUCACAAAUAACAGAUGAAGAUGAAGCAGAAGGGGUAGAGCUAGGGGGCCCCAAGCUUGUUUUCUUUUACCUGUAUGAAUAGAAGGCUGAGCAGCCCUUUGAGCCCUAACUGCACCAAACUUAGUCUCAUAUUUAGUAAACAGUUUAUACAAUUCAUUUUUUACAUCAGCAUAAUAUGUACUGUACUCACACCCAGUGCACUCUACAAGUAAAUGCAACACAUUAAAAAAACCUCUCAUCUUAGCUCUAGGGUCCAGAAUGAAUGCAUAUGAAUAUAGCAAACUCGGUUUCUUUGCUCCUUUGAAUUUGAUCCCUAACUUCAAUCUUUUAUUGGUUUGUGUUGAACCUUUAUGCACCUGUAGAACAUAUAUUCUAGAGCAAACUAGUUAGUCCAAUAUUUGUGUUGGGCAUUCAACCACCAAAAUUAAUACUGGGAAAAGGUUAACCCUAUUUCCCUUUCAAGAUAUGAGCAUCCUCGCCCACACGCCUACGGUUGAGCUCUGCCUAUAGGCCAUCAGUCCGCGCGCCCCUCACUGAGGGUGACUGCACGGAUGCUGACGCCUCGCGUCGACACCGGUAUAGUCGUGGCCCAGUUCUGCCAGAACCAGGGCGAUCUGGGCCAUGCUGAGAGGUAGUCGACGUCUUCGUGCCAUUGCCUCAUGGCCCCCGGUGAGGCUUUGGAGCUUGGGGGUUGCGGAGCAACUUCCUGGCUGCUGAUAGCAACCCACCGGGAGUAGCCCGUGAGGGGGUCCUAGACUCCUACACUGGCAUGUGUUGCUGUGCAGCAUGCAUAAUAGCGGCACUAGACAUAGGGCGGUAAGAGCCUGUAGCGUGGAAAAUGUCGCCUCUUCCCCCAUUGGGAAGUCCCCGGAGGACGAGUCGUGGUGCUCGAUGAUCUGUACCAUCAUGUCGAGCAAGGAAAACAUGCAAGAAAUCUAAGCCUAGUGCCCCCUACCUGGCGCACCAAUUGUCAGAGAGAAAACUCCAGUUGGGUGGUGGAAUGUACCCCCUAAUCUUGUGAACUAGGGGGCCUAGAGAUUUUCCUGAUUAGUUGGAUGAACUCGAGAACACAAGGGUUAGAGUGGUUCAGGCCGCUAGAGCAUAAUACCCUACAUCCACUGUGAGUUGUAUUGCAUGAGGAACGAGUCUCUGUGUGUCCGAGGGGUUCCGAGAGAGUCUGUCCCUUGUAACGUUGUGUGCCUUCCCUUUUAUAGUCCAGGGGGCACAUACAAGGAAGUUGAGCCCCGACAGGCGGGCCUAGGAAUAUAGUAAUAAAAACAUGGAACAACUAAUGUUGCUGGCGGACCGAGAUCUUCUCUUGGUCACCGUGUGGAUUUCUUGACCAGCCUCUCCUUCGCCUUGUCUUGUCAGCGUAUGGGCGAAGGCUCUGGUAAGGGCCACAACGUAGACUGAUACGCCGACGUGCGUAGGAGCGUGCACAAUCGCAUGUGUUGUCAUGUCCGGUCGAUCACUGUAACGGACACAUUACCCGACCGAACGACGCUUCAUGAUGGUGUCAUCACGCGUGUGGCACAACGGCCUCGGUAACGCGCGGAGCUCUAAGCGAACAUUUAAUGCACGCGGCGCUACCAUGCUACUGUGCACCUCGAUAACGUGUGGGUGGUUACAGAGACAUGUUACAAGCCUGCCAAUGCCCUGCACUUGGUCAGAGGCUGCCUUGCAUUUAAUGUGGGCUAAGGCCUUGCUUCCAUGCGAAGGUUCGCACCAUGCGCUCAGCGGCCACGUGGCGUUACCGAACCCCUGCUUGGGUCCGGAGUAGGGCCUGGGGCAUGUUCUGCCCUGGAGCACCGAUAGCCCUCAUUAACGACCCAGACCCCAUACGGGGGGAGGGUCUAGAGCCCUACUCGAGGGUCCGGUUUGUAUACGUGGAGGUCCUGGACCUUCCAUGGGUUCGGAUUGUGUACAUGGGGGUCCGGGACCUACCCAUGGGGGUCCAGAUCCAUAGGUGAAGUCCCUGAGCAUAUCGCCUCCCUGGACACGUGGCACCACUGGACCUACCCAUAAGACAGGGACAUGCGCCGUUCUAGAAUCGGAGUGGUUGGUCGAGGCAGGUAGCUCUCGGAGUGUUGCUUGAGACACCCUUGGGCAAAGCAGAAAUGCGCUUCUCGCUCGAGGCUAGAGUGGGCGAGUCGGAAAUGUGUUCCUCGCCCGAGGCUGGCCUCGAGCGAGUCGCGACUGCGUCUCCCGUUUAGGGUUGGCCUCGAGCGAGUCAUGACAUGGGUCGAGGUGCUCAGUUCCUUAGCGCACGAUUAGAGAUAACCAUGUGAGUGCUGUGUUUUGAUACAGUAGUAAGGGGUACCCUAGUUCUAUGGUAUCGAUAGUACUUUUAACUACAUCUUCUCCUUAAGAGUUGGUUUAGUGACCAGAGACCACGGGGAUCCAUGGGAAGGAGUCCCCUUGCUAUUUAAUAAGAUUCCUCCUCCAUGGACCCCGUGAUCUCUGGUCACCAAAUCAGUACUAAUAGUAUUUAGAAGUGAUCUUGUCACUCUAAAUAGUACUCUGAUCGUUUUUGCAUAUCUUGGUCUUCUCAGCUGACCAUAUUACCCCUCUCUCAUUUUGCAUAUCUUUUUUAGCUAAUUGAUGUGCUCCCUUUCUCGCUGACUGCCGACCGAAGAGAAUGCACGUAAACUCCCUGGACAAGGAACUUCGACAUUCAAUAUCAUUUGAAGGGAGCGUGGUAACCAGGACCUGAUAUUGCCCCAUCUGUAAAACUCAUCUCGGGUUCCAAGUUUGUGGCUGAAGAAAAUGAAAAUCAGAUUGAAUAAAAAACAGACUGAAAACACUAACUGAAGAACACAUAGACUGAAACACUAACUGAAGAAAACGAAAAACAGACUAAAACUACCCUGACACUUGAAACUGUCAGCAGCGCAAGGAUUUAUUCAACAAUAAGGACCUGAUAUUGCCACAUCCAUAUGUUAUUGCCCCGUGCGUUUUAAUAACACUUCAUGAAUAAUAACAAGGACCUGAUCAUGUUCUGAAUAUUGGCUUGUACAACUUGGUGUGCAAAAUAAAAAAAUAUUAUUCUUUACCUAAAAGGAGCAAUUAAAUAGCAGAUUUAUGCCACAACCCACAUCAAACAAAAAAAUGUUUUUCCAAACAUUCAACAUCCCAUGCUAAUACAGGCAAUCAGAGCUGUUAUUAAACUAAAUGGUCCAAUGACUCCAAUCCAAACUUAAAGUAAUCAAUUGCCAGCAUGUGAUUAAACUAAAUUGUCCUCUCUUUCUUCUUGAAUUGAUAUUGAAUCACAAUCCACUAAUGAAGGUGGCUGCUCUAUAAAUGGAAGUGUCAGCUCUACUCUCAGAUAUGAUUUAUCUCCGUCCAUAGGCGUCGUCAUUGUGGCUCUCCCAAUAAGUCUUUUGUAAUAUGACACCUAAGUAUCAUCAAGGAAGAUAUAUAAUUAAGGGGUGUUUGAAUGCACUAGAAAUAAUAGUUAGUGGCUAAAAUUCGCUAGAGACAUCCAAACAUCCUAGCUAAUAGUUCAGUUAUUAGCUAUUUUUAGUAAAUUAGCUACUAGUUAGCUAACUAUUUGUUAACUACCUAAUUCUACUAGUAUAUUUUUAGCUAACUAACUAUUAGCUCUAGUGCAUUUAAACACCCCUAAAAAGACCAAGUAUUUCAUAUUUAAUAUUUUGUAAUUUGUAUUCGGUUUUGAUGCACAUGUAUUAGUAUUUAGUUUCUUGAUGCAUAUCCACCAUUAGAAUUCAGUUUUCCUGAUCCAAACAAUUAGUAUUUAUUUUUCUUGAUCCAAGCCAUAGCUUCUUGCCUCCUCACACGAAUACAGAAACAUGUUGCAACCUAUCUGGUCGGCAAAGUUUCACAUGGGAAACAUGAUGGUGGUGGCAGCAGCAAAGUUUUGCAUAGAGAUACAUGGUGGAUAGCAAGCAGGAAACCACACGUCCAUGGAACAUACGAACAAGAACUUUGCAGUGGCUGGGAGGGAGAUGAACCUGUUGUGGCCGCGAGGGAGAAAUUCCUGUGGCGGAGUGGAGGAAGACAAUCUCCGAUUGGCGGCGGCCAUGUUCAUGAUGGGGAAGUGAAGUACUCUCAAUUCUGCGAUGGAAAGACGUAUCGGUGGAUGGAGUGCAGGGGCAACAUGGUCAGUUGAGAAAACGAAGGUAAAGAAAAUAAUUAAAAUAAUUAAAAAAUCAUAGAAUACUAUUUAGUAAGAUCACUUCUAAAUACUACCUCCGUGAUAGAAAACCAUUGAUUUUUUCGAAAAUUUAAUCACUCAUCUUAUUCAAAAUAUUUAUUUAAGUAAUAAAAAUUUUAAAUAAAUAUAAACUAACUUAAAUAAUAAAACAAAUCAUAAAAAAUAAAAUAAUAGUUUAUUAUUUAUUUAAAUAAGAUGAGUAAUCAAAGUUUUAAAAAAAUUAAUGGUGUCAUAUAUUUAUGAAUAUAUUUAUGAACGGAGGGAAUACUUUACUUUUAUGGAGAAGAUGGGGUUGAGAGUAACGUAAUAGAAGCCAGAAAAAACUCACCGGGAAGAAGGAACCAGAAGCUAACCGGCACGUCGUGAAGCUAACCGGGAUUCCGGGAAGCAGAGACGUCCGCCCGUCGCCCGUCGUCCGUCGUCAUGGCCGCCGUGGAGGUGUGCGUGAAGGCCGCCACGGGGAAGCCCGACACGCUCGGCGACUGUGAGUACUCCCCACCCCCCACCUACGGCGCCCAAUUCCGCCCGGAUCCCUAGCCGUCUCACUGACCCUUCUUUGCCUUGGCUUGGUCUGGUCUGGAUGGAACCGGAACCUGCUGCCGGCAGGCCCGUUCUCGCAGAGGGUGCUGCUCACGCUGGAGGAGAAGAAGGUCCCCUACGAGGUGAAGCUCGUCGACCUCGACAACAAGCCCGAAUGGUCCGUCUCCCUCCCUCUUCCUCUCUUCCCUUCCCCCGCUCAUCAAUCAUCAUUAUUAUAUAUACUUUCCGCAGCAGCAUUGUGCAGUCUGCACGCGGUGUCUCAGGAGUCACGACGGAUCUGGCGAAGUGCCGCCGCUCAGGCCGUGUUUUUCUUCCUUUUCUUAAUAACACCUUUUCUGCUGCAUUGACUUCAUUUCCAGAGGAUCACCUCACUGUGGUAGACCGGGAACAGGGUUCGAGACAGGGAAAUUCUUUGCGCUGUCUCCUUGUUUGCUUUGGAGAGUCUGCUGCGGAUGAUUUUUCGUUGGAUGUGGUAGAUUUCCCUGAUCUGACUUAAUUGCAGCCUGUAAACUGGCACUGGGAAAAAAGAAUCCACACAACUUAGUCAUGAAUUAUGUACUAUUCAGCCCGACAGCCCCCAUGUGUCCUGCUGAAUUGAUCUCUCCGGUGAUUAUUUUUUUUCUAGUUAUGAACGAACUGUAGGUUUAAUAUUGCCUCCUAUUUUUAACAUGUGACACUGGUUCGUAGAUUACCCGAGAAUUAUUAUGCAGUUUUAUUUUAAUUCUCGAGAACUUAAAUCUGUCAUGACAUAAACCCCAGACCUUUGUUCAACAGCGAACAUCCAGUAUCUUGUCUUGGUACAGUUGCAUGUGUCUUCCCUGAUGAAUUAGAAGUUCUAGUGUACUUGGAUUACAGCUAGUUUACGCGCACUAGAGAAGGCUUGAUGUUUUCCACUGUACACACCAUCAAUUUAUGCAAAAUAUUGGAAUUGGCAAAACAUGCUUCUCAAAUUUGUGCUGGCAGUGGCACUUUU
rnacentral:lncRNA from 1 species